AAGCAAUCACCUAGACAGUGGUACAAGAGGUUUGAUUCCUUUGUACUUACUAUAGGAUUUCAAAGAAGUAAAUUCGAUCACUGCCUAUACUUUCAACACAACGAGACUGAUAACAAUUAUUUGUUCUUGUUGCUCUAUGUGGACGACAUGCUUUUAGUUGAAUCAUCUCCUAAGUGGAUAAACAAUAUAAAAGCAGAUCUUAGUGGACAAUUUGACAUGAAAGACCUAGGAAAGGCUAAAAGGAUUCUAGGCAUGGAAAUAGAACAAAAUAGGUCAAAUUCCAUCGUAUUCUUGCAUCAAUCUCCAUACAUAUCAAAGGUGUUGAAAAAGUUUAAUAUGAGUGAUUGCAAACCUGUCACAUUGCCUCUUGCAAACCAUUUUGUUCUAUCUAAGGAACAAGCUCCCUGCAAUGAACGUGAAGUGGAAUACAUGAGUAAAAUUUCAUACUCAAAUGUGAUUGGUUCCAUAAUGUAUUUGAUGGUUUGUACUAGACCGGACUUAGGAUUCGCUGUUAGUAUUCUCAGUAGGUACAUGUCUAAUCCAGGUCCUGAACAUUGGGAAGCAUUAAAGUGGCUUUUAAGAUAUUUGAAGGGUACAAAGUGACGUAGGUCUAAAAUUUAGUGCUAAUAAAGAAGGCGUGAAAUUAAAGAGUUUUGUAGAUGCUGACUAUGCAGGAGAUAGGGAUGGUAGGGAAUCAACUUCCUCUUACAUAUUUACCUUAUCAAAUUCGUGUGUUAGUUGGAAAUCACAGUUACAACACAUAGUUACACUAUCCACUACAGAGUCAGAAUAUAUUGCCACCACUGAAGCAAUUAAAGAGGCUCUAUGGCUUAGAGCUCUACUUCAUGAACUGAGUGUCUUGAAUGAGUAUGUGGUUGUGUAUUCUGAUAGUCAGUCAUCCAUACAUCUGUGUAAGAAUCCUGUUUUUCACGAACGCACUAAACAUAUCGAUGUUAAGUUACACUUCAUUAGAGAUAUAAUAUCACAAGAAGUAGUAAAACUUGAAAAAAUUCACACACAGUAUAAUCCUUCAGAUAUGGGCACGAAAGUGCUGCCACUGGUAAAGUUUAGAAGUUGCAAAGGGCUUCUAAACAUCGGUACAUGUAAAUGAUUUCAAUUUUAUCGGUUUUUCUGUUAGAGGUGUCACUAAUGGAAAAACCUUUUUCUUUGUAGGUCAUUUGACACCAAGGUGGAGGUUAUUAGACAUCAUGUUGUCAAACGACCUCCCGGGCGAUGAUGAAAACCAAUUUUAUCAGUCAACAUAAAUGACUGAACGAUAAUUCAACAUCGAAUAAUGAAUGAACCGACCAAACAUUGUUUUACCUAUUGGAUGGCUAAUACUCUUUGUGGCUUGUUGUUUCUUUCCUUUGGGACUUAAACCUAGUCGAGCCUACUUACCAUAUUUUGACUUACCUUAUGUUGGCCAUUUAACUAAUAUAUAUAUUGGUGGUUUAACCUCUCCUCCUAACCCCGUUGAAGAGAGAACCCGAGAGGUAAAGAAAGACUGUCAUUUUCUUCUUCUGCCUUCUUCUUCGUGAUUUGUCUUCCAUGCCAAUUGCUUGAGCCUUUGUGACUCUUACCUAUGUGGUAUCCAUCCUAAGUGUGUGGUUGAAUCAACAAGCAAAAGAGGAAAUAGCAACCAUAGGAAGUUGGGCGCCGGCGAAUUCGGUCAUCUUGAUUUUGGUGUUGAAUUCGAUGUUUAAUGGUUAACUGAGCUCGAAAAUCACUUUGAGCAGCUUAAGGAAGAUCCUAACAGAAUUCGAUGAUGAUGUACUGGUAAGGUUGUUGUAAUGUUGUUGGCCGGAAUAAGCCAUGGUUGGAGCUCUAAAUUGAAAAUCGAUUUCGAAUUUCUUGAUGAGUAUAAAGGAUUUUGUUUUAGAACCAUUUUAUUUUCAAUAUGUGAGUUAUGAUUUUGAUAUUUGAUUUAGGAUUCAAUCGGUUAAACUGGGAUUGGUGUACAAGUCUUCAAGAAAAAAAGGGAAUUCGCCACAUCGGUAACACCCUUUGUCUUUACAAGAUAAUCAUCCAACUUGUACGCUUUCACCAAAACUCUAGCCUAUGAUGUCCAGCUCACAGCAGUGUAACAUACUGUUGUCCCAAGGCCUGCCUUCUAAAACAAUUUCAUCAAAUUUGGCAUAUGGAGAUAUUUUAAACCAUUUUCUUAAACAAAAGCUUGCUCAAGUGCGGCCAAAUCAAUGGCUAAAGAGGCUUUUCAGAACACUGAAUUAUUAAAGCAAAAAAAUAGGGUAAUUAGCACAAAAUGUUCUUACCUUUCAUUUUUUGAUACUUUCACCUUUUUUUUUUUUUAACCUUUCAUUGCAAAAAACGUCACUUUCACCAAUUUUUAAAGUAAAAUGACAAAUAUACCCUCCUACUUGAAUAAAACAAAGAAGAAAAGAGAAGAAAAAUAAAGAAAAAAUUACAAUCUUACUCCUAAACUUUUCAAAAACUUAUAAAUAACCCCACCUGGAGCUGUCGGCCUUCAUCUCACCACCCACCACGUAACCGCUGCCUAAAACACCAGAGGUCAUACCACAAACAGCUGCGAUCAACCCCCAAACACUUUCCCAUAAACAAAUUGAAAAAACAACAAAUUUGUAUGGCCAAAAUCAACAAAAAAAUGCAGCUUAUCGCGUACAACACACUACCUUUUUCCGUCAAUUUCGACGUCAGCAGUGGUUCCCACCACUGUGGACCACCCAUUCACGCUUUGCCACAUAAUGCCGCACCUGCUAAACAAGGGGUUUCCAUCAAUUUUAUUCUAAUAUGCCCUGGAAUUUUUUGCUAGGUAUUGCCCAAUAAAAAAAAUUAAAAGUUGUUUCUGUAGAUUUUGAUUUUGUACAUCUGUUGAUAUUUUAAUACCAUGGAGAGAGGGCCUUUGGUGAGUAUAGUCGAUUGUGUGUUGGGAAUGGCAUGGAUCAUGAUGGAAUAUGUGGUGCUACCAGUAUUUGCAUUCUCAAUUUUGGUAUUUUGGCUUGCAAUUCCGACCAAAUAUUUUAGCAUGAAGGUUGGAUGUUGGGUGGUAUACCAGUGGUAUAGAGGUCCAGUGGUUUGGGUGGUGGUUCGCCAAAAUUUUUGGCUGCUAAAUUGGCAACCCCAUUUGGUGGUGGAGGAAGCAGAGGAAAGGGGAGGAGAAGAAGAGAAGAGAGAAAGAGGUUUUUUUUAUUUUUAAUAUUUUAAUAAUUCAUUUUGAUUCUUUUGCAUUUUUAAAAAGUUUAGGAGUAUGAUUGUAAUUUGUUUCUUAUUUUUCUUUUCUUUUCUUUUUUGUUUUAUUUAAAUAGGAGAGUGGAUUGAUCUUUUACAUUAAAAAUUGGUGACAAUGACCUUUUUUACAAUGAAAUAUGAAAAUAUGGGUGAAAAUACCAAAAAAAUGAAAGGUAGGAACAUUUUGUGCUAAUUAUCGCACAAAAUUAAUAUGAAGCAGGUAAAUUUAUCCAGAGCUGUAGGGGCUAGCUAGUAUAUGUCCAGUGUAAGAUGAAAUUCCUUCCGAUAUUUCCCAAUGUACAAAACGUUUGGCAGCCUGGAAUAGGUGUGAAUGUUUCAAAAAUCACUCAACUUAUACCUUGAUCAUAGACUACUCACCAAACUUCCUUCUGCUUCACAACACUCGCUCAAACUUUACCCGUUAACACUCUUACCCUGAAAAAUCAAUGUGGUUAGCUGUUUCAUAGUGGACAAAAUUCUGAUGCGGCAUCUAACAUCCGUUAAAUUAAACAAAAAAUGGCAUCUUUGGCACAUUCAGCAUUUUAAAAAAAAAAGAAGCCAAAAACCGUUUUCAUUUAAAUUUACUCGUGUUUGAAAUAUUUUCACAUCUAUGGAGUCUCUAGGAUCAUCGUCUAUACAAUCUCCAUUGUUCUUACCAUAACAAGUGUUGCAUUGCAACAAAAUUUCAUCGGCCAAAAACUCAGUUGUAGGGUCCUCAAACUUAAUCCAAAUCAACUCCAACUCAGUUCUUGUUGCCUUUUUGGAUUCUCACUAUACUGAAUUAUCAAAACUCGUAGAAGCAACACUUUUGCUACAAACCCUUGAAGAGGCAGUUUCGAAACAUAAUAUUUCAAUCUUUGCUCCCAGGAGUGAGGAUUUGGAAAGGGUUUUGGAUCUUAAGUUCUAGCAGUUUUUGCACGAGCCGAGGAAUCUAAAAUUGCUUCAAAAUCUGUUGUUUUUUGAUAUGAUUUUGAUUUGCAUUGAAUUGAAUCGCCAGCCUCUGGAAGGUCGAAAGAUUAUUAGUAUUUAGAUCAUGACUUGACAGCAGAUUCUGCUAUGUAAAUGUGUCAUGGGCAUCGCACAUGUAAGUUGGAGUUGUAUCAUGUGAUGGAAAGCACUUUACAAGGGUCCGAAUUAUCUCUCCAAGUAUUUCAGUGAAGUUAAAAAGCAUUAUGUCUGCAAAACUUUAAUUAAUUCGUAUAUUAUCUACACUUCUACUAUUGAUAUUUUGAAGUUUCAAAACACAGCUAAUGGUUUUUUAUUUUAUUUUUUUUAUAAUUAAUAAAAGUGUUUAAGCUUUUACAGAAUCAGUUCAGUUUUACAUUUUCCAAAAUUUGUGGCCUCGAUCAUUAUUACGAAAAUGAUUAUGACAUAAAACUCAAUUCUUGAUCAAGCACAGUCAAAAAUUUCCAAGUUGUUUUUCCCUCUCAUACAAUCAUUCCUCCUUGAAAUAGCCUGUCUCAAAAAGUUAAUGAAUAAACUAAUACUUCCAUUUGGUAUGGCUGAACUUAUGGGUCAAGAUAGUACGUCAAUUAAAUAAUUUUCUCAUGCCUUAUGUCUUCCUUGCAUAUUGUGUGAGCAUCAAAUAUUUGUAGGACACUAUCUUUUUAUAUUUGCAUUUGUUUACAGUACCUAUAAAGCAGCUUUCCUCUUACCUUGAAUUAGUGUUAAUAGGUUAUUUUUUUGAAUAAAUUAUUUUUGUGUUUAUUCUAUUUGAAAAUGAUUUAGGUUGCAAUAAGGAUUGGUGCAUCAUUUGUGAGUUUGAAGGUCUGAUUCUAAAGGGACAGGAACUGAGAUCUAGUUUAUCUCCAAUUAGGAUACUGUCUCAAAUUCUAAAGUCAUCUUGGAAGACAAGAAGAUGCCCACGAGUUUUUGAGGUAUGUAGUGCGAAGCAGUAUCAAUUUUGGUUUAAGAAUUUGCAACUAAAUAUGUUGACUCUGAUUAUGUUUCUACACAUCAGGUAUGCAGUAGAUACAAUGAGGCCUUAAUGGGGAAGCAUUGAGAAUCUGAAAGAAUUCCCUGCUGUGCACUUUGUAUACUGAGAUAAUUGCAAGAAGUGGAUAGAUCACCUAGUUUGAUGAAUAUAGAGUGGGGCCGAUAGGGUGGUUUCACUAACUACUUAGUGGGUUUUUUUUUUUUUUUUUUUUUUUGGAAAAAUGUAUUGGAGUUUUAGGUGUUUUAGAAUUUUGGAUCUAGAUUUUGUACGAAUUUGUUACAUUUUAGAGUUCAAUUAAUAAUGAAUAUUAGAGUUAUUUGAUACAGUUAUUUUCUAUUAUAUUUUGUGGUUGAUAAUAAAAAUAAAAAAAUAAAAGCUACAGCAACGUUGCAAAAUCCUCACUCUUUUGCAACGUUGAACAAAUGUUGCAAAAAAUAGGCUUUUGCAACGUUGAAGAAACGUUGCAAAAACUCUUCACUCAACGGCAAUAUCGACCUUCACAACACACGUCAAAAUGCUGCAAAAAGUCUUUUGCAACGUUUUUUGACCGUUGCAAAAACUUUUUUUUGGUGUAGUGAAGGUUGGAUGUUGAGUGUUAUACCAAUGGUAUAGAGAUUCAAUGGUUUGGGCGGUGGUUCACCAAAUUUUUUGGCUGCUAAAGUGGCGGCCCCACUAGGUGGUGGAGGAAGCGGAGGGAAGGGGAGGAGAAGAAGAGUAGAGAGAAAGAGGUUUUUUUUUUUAAAUAUUUAUUAAUUUAUUUUGAUUCUUUUGCACAUUUAAAAAGUUUAGGAGUAUGAUUGUAAUUUGUUUCUUAUUUUUCUUUUCUUUACUUUUUUAUUUUAUUUAAAUAGGAGGGUGUAUUGAGAUUUUACAUUCAAAAUUUGUGAAAAUGACGUUUUUUGCAAUGAAAUGUGAAAAUAUGGGUGAAAAUACCAAAAAAUGAAAGGUAGGGACAUUUUGUGCUAAUUAUCCUACAAAAUUAAUAUGAAGCAAGUAAAUUUAUCCAAAGUUGUAGGGGCUAGCUAGUAUAUGUCCAGUGUAAGAUGAAAUUCCUUCCGAUAUUUCCCAAUGUACAAAAGGUUUGGCAGCCUAGAAUAGGUGUGAGUUGUCACUCAACUUAUACCUUGAUCAUAGACUAUUCACCAAACUUCCUUCUGCUUCACAACACUCACUCAAACUUUACCCGUUAACACUCCAUCUAUUACCCUUAAAAAUCGAUGUGGUUAGCUGUUUACAUAGUGGACAAAAUUCUGAUGCGGCAUCUAACAUCCGUUAAAUUAAACAAAAAAUGGAAUCUUUGGCACAUUCAGCAUUUAAAAAAAAGCCAAAACCCUUUUUCAUUUAAAUUUACUCGUGUUUGAAAUAUUUUCACAUCUAUGGAGUCUCUAGGAUCAUCGUCUAUACAAUCUCCACUAUUCUUGCCAUAACAAGUGUUGCAUUGCAACAAAAUCAAAAUUCAUCGGCCAAAAACUCAGUUGUAGGGUCCUCAAACUUAAUCCAAAUCAACUCCAACUCAGUUCUUGUUGCCUUUUUGGAUUCUCACUAUACUGGAUUAUCAAAACUCGUAGAAACAACACUUUUACUACACACCCUUGAAGAGGCAGUUUCGAAGCAUAAUAUUUCAAUCUUUGCUCCAAGGAAUGAGGCUUUGGAAAGGGAUUUGGAUCUUAAGUUCUAGCAGUUUUUGCACGAGCCGAGGAAUCUAAAAUCUCUUCAAAUUUUUUUUUUAAUAUGAUUUUGAUUUGCAUUGAAUUGAAUCGCCAGCCUGUGGAGGUAGAAAAACCCAAUAAUCAUAACGGCUUGCUCUAGGUUUCCAAUGGCGAAAUAGUUAAGGUGGUUGAAAAAAAAUGGGAAACUUGUGGGUAUGGCAAAGAUUAUCAAACCCGACUAGAUGGAAUUUAUCCACAGUUGUUUGAGGAAGAUGGAGUUCGUCAGUUAUUUUGGAUAGAAGAUGACUGGUUGAUUUUGGAAAAAUGACAAGUCAUUUUGAUUUUGGAGGAGGAAAAAAGUCUCUGGGAUUUUAUUAUUAUUAUUAUUUUUUUUUUUUUUUUUUUUUUGAUAAGGUAAAAUUGUGUUUUGAUAAACACGAUUUAUGCUAAUAGUGCUAAAGAUGCCACUCUUUGUUAAAAAUUAACGAAUGUCAAAUGCUAAAUGAAUUUUUCUAGGGGCUGGACGGAGUACUAACUAAUAAAGUUGAGUGAGUAUUAUGAAGCAGAAUCGAGUUUGGUGAACAGCCCAUGACAAUAUUAUAAGUUCAAUGAUUUUUGAAACAAUUCACUAGUUAGGAUAGUAUUACCGUUUUCUAUAUCAUUUCAAUAGUUUCUAGUUUGACCACCAUUGUUAGAAAACUCUUUUGUCUACGCAUUCAUUUUAAACCACAUAUUCACAUAAUAAAAUAUCGAAAAGUCUUGGUAUACAUAAUUUUUGUAUAUAGGGGCGUCCACAUCCCUCACAUAGGAUGUAACCCGUGCGACAAUCCUCACAUGAGGUGGGGACCACCUCGCACGGGUCCCAUAUAAUGUGAGGGAUAUGGACACCCCUAUGUACAUAAAUUAUUACAUUAAGCACAACUCAUAAAAAAUAUUGCAAGUAAAUCUAAAACUUUUCAUACUUUUUAACCAGACAUUUCUCUAAAAAUCAUUAUUUGAAGAUUGUUCUGGCCAAAUAAUGGUCAUCAAACAUAGGCUUAAUUACUCAUUUUUAAUAUUUAAAUUUUGAUAUGCAGAAAACUCUUUCAUCUUCCAAACAAUCCAGAAAUCUCCAUUCUUAAUACAUCAUCUCUUUCUUUUCCAAGCAACCAAACCUCCGAUUAGCAGACCACUGUUACCUAGCUUCAUCGCUUGCACUCUCCACUGGAAACUCAUUGGUGAGUAAACAUGAAAUGGUAAGUAUUGAAAGUAUGAUACAUGUUGCUAGAAUUGAGUUUCCAUGAUGGUUAACAAACGCAAAAGGUGCAAAUGGCAUGUCAUACUUAUUUUUCAAUUGGAUCGUGUCAAAUGUAAUAUUAUCUAAUUUUUCAUAAGAUGCCCUACUCCUUGCAUCAUCCCAAAAUAAGCUCCAAAUUCGAGCAUUAUCAUCUUCAUGCAUUGUAUAAAAGAAACUUGAAUCUUUGUUCGUAUCCGAACAAAAUAAUCAUGAAUUACUUCAGCGUUUCCAAUGCCAAAUCUUAAUCCCCUUUCCUCGUCAACAUAACUUCUACAAUAUUUUUUCCCCUGAAAUGGGACAUUAUCAUGACCCUAAGCUUUCCAGUAUUAAUGAUUAAUAAUUCUUUGCCACACCAAUCUCUGCUCGAUCAUUCAAUUCAAUUUUUCAUUGAGCACCAAUACAAAUUUCCCUAUUCCAUAAGUAAAACUUGAUUUUUAUGCACUCGGAAUUAAUCUUACAUUUUCCAUCUCUAAAUACAGAAUCAUUAACUCUAGUUUUACACCCUCAUUUUAUCAAUGGAUUAGAAUUCAGGUAAUUUUUGUUUUCAAGACCUUGAAUUUCUAUCUUGUAAACAUGAGAAGCAGACAAAUAAUGGAUUUUGGCUAGCAUAACCUGUGGGUAUUAGAUGGCUAGGAGAAAUCAACCAAAAAGAGGAGGAGAAGAUGUGGUUAGAGAAUUUGAAGGCCUGUGUCAGAGAUGCAGUUUUAUGUUCUGGCACAAAUUCAAGAGUGCCUAUAGAUGAGGAGUUCGUUAAUCAAUUGAAGAGAAACUAUGAGGAUGAAGAAGAGAAAGAUUUGGAAGAGGAUUCGGAGAAUUGAGGAAAAGAUAAACUUUUGGAGUCUUGAAAUUUCAUCUUUAAAUCUUCCUCCUUUCGUCUUUAUAUUAAAUUAAGCCUCUUAAGGGUCAUGAAUCUCUUCUAUUUUGAAUUUGAGUUGAGAUUAUGAUUAAAGUCGAGCACUGGAUUAUUUUUUAAAUUUUGAGUUAGAGUUGGCGCAUGCAUGUCUGAUGGAUAGAAAUUUAUUUUUUAUUUAAAGUGAAUGGUGAAACCAAACCAAAGCGUAUGGGUAAGAGAUUUGUUAUAUGAAAGCAAGAAUAGAAACACAAAGAUUUACGUGAAAACCAGAGCAAAACCAUAUCUAAAAGAGGAAAAAUCCACUAUAUCAAAUGAGUAUGAAAGUGGAGUUUUGGACGGCUAUAACGAAUAAUACAGUGAGACCCUAAAAUGUAUCAUAUAUUAUUAUAUAGGGCAUGAGAAUAAUAAAAUAAGUGCAUACAUCUCUCUGCUACCACUACAAAUCCCUAAUAAUUCUCAUAAAUUUGAUUUCACCGCAUAUGUUGCACUGCAAUAUUUUGGGUUGAGCCAAACAAAAUUCAGAUCACCGUAUUCUAACAAUCUCUACCUUAACAUAAAAGUCAACACAAAUGAAUAAAACUUCACUCUUCAACUAAAGCUCUCCACCUCUUCCACAACAGCCCCUAAGGGAAAACUUAGCAACGAAUGCCAACAAUGUCUAUGUAAUGUCUACAGGAAGUGACUUGAUCAUCAUAUCAGCAACUUUAUAUUAGGUGUUGACUUUUCUCUACAAUAGCACCACGAGCAAUAAUAUUAUGCUCAAAAUGAUUCAUGAUACCACACAUCAAUGUGAAUGUGCUUCUUCUUAUCAUGAAACAUCUUAUCUUUUGUGAGAAAAAUAGCACUUUGACUAUCCCAAAAAUUUAUGGUAAUAAUUUGCAAGUAUUUAUUGAGUUCACCAAAUAGUCCUUUUUAACUAAAUAGCUUUCUUACAAACCACUGUAAUAUCCAUGUACUCAGCCUCUUAGUAGACAAUGCAAUUGUAGUAUGUAAAACACCUUUCCAACUGAUGGCAUGACUACAAAUAAUAAAAACAUAUUCUGUAAGAAAUCUCCUCUUACCAAGAUCUCUAGUAAAAUAUAAUCGACAUAUACACUAGCUCUAUCUGUAGUUCUGCCGAAAUGUAAACAAAUAUCAGUAGAGCCACACAGGUAUCUGAAAUUCACUGAACUGUUUAAAUGUUCUUUACCAAGAUUUGCUAUGUAGCUAUUGACUUCACUAACUGCAUAUGAUAAAUUUGGACGUGAGCAAACGGUAGUAGAGAUAUCACUGCACUAAAAUAUGGAACUCGUGACGUAUGAUUAACCUCAUAAUUUGAUUAUGGAAAUAAAGUAGAUGAAAUUUUGAAAUAAGCUACUAAAGCAGUACGAACAAGUUUGGCGUUUUGCAUAUUAAACCUAUAGAGAACAUUAUUGAUUAUCCUUUCUGACUAAGGUAUAAUUAAACUACUUUUCUUUCUAUCAGAAUCCCACUCCAAAUAUUUUCUUUGUUGCUCCUAAGUCAUUCUUUUCAAAUUCAUUAUUGAGCUUGACUUUGACCUUUCUUAUCUCUUUCUUAUCCUUGGCAGCUAUUAACAUAUCAUCAACAUAUAAGAGUAGGUAUAAAAAUGACUCGCUAUCACUCUUCUUAAAAUAGAUGCAACUAUAAUAACUGUUUAUUUUGAAGUCAUGAAUUUUCAUAAAAGAGUCGAACCUUUUAUACCAGUGUAUGGAAGACUGUUUCACGCCACAAAUGGACUAUUUCAGCAAGCACGCAUAGUCUUCCUUCUAACUGCUACACGUAAAUCCUCAACAAGUUUUCCAUGUAAAAAUGUUGUUUCUACAUCGGACUGCUCAAGCUCAAAAUCAUGCAUGGUCACAAUAUCAAGCAAAGCUCGGAUCAAACUAUACUUUACAAAUAGAGAAAAUACAUCUCUGAAGUCUGUACCCAGAACUUGACUGUAUCCCUUUGCAACUAGUCUUAUCUUAUACCUGACUUCUUCAACACCCGAUGUUCCUUCUAUCCUUUUGAACACCUAUUUGAAACAAACAACGUUUUCAUUCUUAGGUAAUCUCACUAAAUCUCUUGUGUCAUUCUUAUUAAAUGAUUACAUCUUCUCCUGCAUGAGAAUCAUUCAUCUAACAGAAUCGUCACAACUUACUACCUCCGAAUAGGUAGAAGAUUCUUCACUCGAAUCCAUACUUUCAGCCACAUUCAAGGCAUAUGAAAUCAAUUCAGUCUCACCGUACCUCUAUAGAGGUCUAAUAUCUUUUUUGGUUCUAUUUUUAGCAAUAUAAUAAUGUGAUAGCACUGGUGCCGUUGACAAAGCGACUUUACCCUUUACUUUUGAGCUAGGCUGAGAUGUAGAUCUAUUAUAGACCCUAAACCAAUCUCAAACUCCACUUGUACGUAUGAUUUUUGCUUAUAUAUGUCACAUGAAUCUACAGAAGGUAAGUUACAAAGCAUUGAACUUUCAUCUCAAUGAUUAUAUUUCUAGCGACUAAAUCAUUACUAGUUUCUACAUAUAGGUUCCAAUUUUUCAUUAUUAACAUAAGUGUAUGCAUGACAUCCAAAUAUAUUCAAAUCAUAGUAACUAACAAGAGUACCAGACUAACAAUGGCUAUUGAAAGUGGACGAUUAACGAGAAAAUAGGUAGUCGAAAUAGUUCAGCCCAAAAUGACUUAGGUAAACAGUAUUGGAGAGCAUACGUACUUUUCCAUCAAAGUCCUAUACGUGGGAUCUACCACACUGUUUUGUUGUGUAAUCUUACGAACUAUCAAGUGACUCAAAAUUCUUUCUUAUUUGUAGAAAAUAUUAAACUCAUUUGAACAAAACUCUAAACAAUUAUCAGUUCAAAGACAUUUUACCUACUUUCAUAUCUGCUUCUCAAUCAUGAUCUUUCACUCCUUGAAUUUAAUAAACACAUCACUCUUUUUCUUUAAGAACGCCUAAAUUUUUCUGGAAAAAUCAUCAAUAAUGGUAGCAUAUAUUAAGCAUCUCAUUUGGAAGGCAUCCUAGAUGGUCCCUAGAUAUCAAAAUGUAUGUAAUCAAGUAUUCCCUUCGUGUUAUGAAUGUCUUUGUUGUAUGUAACUCUCUUCUACUUAUCAAAUAAUCCAGUCAUCAUAGAACGUCAAUUUACUAGUAUUUGUCCAUCAAGAAGUCCUUUCUGUCUCAAUUCUACCAUCCCAUUCUCAAUCAUAUGCCCAAGACGAAUGUGCCAUAGUCCAGUAACAUCAUCAUCUGAUAAGAAAGUAGUAGUAAUAGCUACAUCACUAGUGAUUGUAGAAUUCCAAAAAACAUAUAACUUCGUAGACCUUCUCUGCUCUUUCAUCAAAACAAUGGCACCUUUGCUAACCUUCAGAAUUUUACAUUCACCAGCGUACUUAAACCAUUUUGAAUCAAGAACACCAAAAGAGAUAAGAUUUUUCUUCAGAUUUGGAGCAUGUCUAACAUCACCAGUUAUCUUGACAGCCCUAUCAAAUAUAAUUCUGACCAUUCCAAUACCAGCUAUCUUAUAAGGAGCAUUAUUUCCUAUUAUCAUAACACAUUUAUAAACUAUUCAUAUGUUGAAAACUAGUUACAAGCUGAAUCAAAUAACCCAAUCCUCACAAGGUUUGGAAUAGCCAUAAAAAAUAACUAGAAGUUCUCCAUCACUGUGACCAUCUUCUAUAACACUAGCUUCAUCAAAAAUUUUCAAUUGUUUUCUCUUCUGAUUAAUAGUAGCCCUUUCAUUCUUAUUCAGCAAUUUUUAGCAAUCAAAUUUGAUGUGAUCUUUUUUCUUGUAGUAACUAAAUAUUUUUUUUUCUUUUUUCUUUUUUUUUUUAAAAAAAUAUUUCAAUCAGUUCCUCAUAUCACUAUCAGAAUUCCUUUCUUGUGUCCUUAUACAAACGGUAAAGCUCUCUGCCUGAUCUGCAAAUCUAACCAUAAGCUGCUUUAUAUUUUCCAUAGAGAACAUUGCUCACAUAUUUUAUCCGGGGUAAGUGUCAUGAUUGUCCAAAAUAGUAUAUUUGAAAGUCAUAUAUGAAGAAGAAACAAACACUAUGAAGUCAACCCUAAAUUUGCCUCAUUGUACUUAACCUUUAUGAUCUCUAGAUCAAAGACAAUUUCCUUAAAGAUGGUUAAGUGAUCUUCUUUAGAUGGAUAAGUUUUUCGCAUAGGCUUUCAAAGACUUCAAGGAGAUAGAGUUUCUAUAAUUUAAGUAGAGAAGCAGUCUUUAAUCGACAAUGAGAGAAUGUUUGAUCAAUUGACUAGGCAUGAUCCACAUAUGGUGGACACUAAAGCUAACAUAAAAAUGUUUUGGCAAAGGCUUCAUCAGGACAUAAGCAUAAUUAUCAUGUCUCAUAGUUUCACUACCUAUGGCAAAAUGUUGGAAUGAGCUCAUGCUAUUUAGGCAUCAAAGGGCUAAUACAUAGAAGUAUGGGCAAAAGACAAAUGCUGACAAUCAGGAUCAAAUCAGUCAGUUAAAUAAGAAUCUGAUUAGGAAAUGAAAAUGAAAUAACGAAGAUAAGGAAAAGGAAAAGUAGCAAAAUAAUAAGGCAAACACUAAAACUGAUGCUAGCAAGGAGGGGGAUAAUCCCAUUUUACCCUAUCUUGAGUGUGACAAGUAGCACAAAGGAGAGCAACAAAUGGGAAAGAAUGUUUGUUUUCCAUUUAUUAAGUAAGGCCUCAUGGAUCGAAAUUGUAUGGAGUUUACUCAAAGGAAGAAUGAGGAGCAAGAUAAGAAUAACAAGAGAAAGGCUUGAGUCUUUUCUACGAUUAAGCAAGAGACAGAGCAAAACCCAAUGUGAUAACUGUAUUCUUCUGAUAGUUGAUUUUUUCGCUUAUAUGUUAUUUGACUACAGGACAAUGUAUUGUUUUGUUUUAUCAUCUUUUAUCGCUAAAAUAGUCAAUGUCACAUUGAUAUAUAUAUGGGACCCCUCAAUCUGAGCAUGCCAUAUCUAAAUGAUAUGAAUUUUGUUGAAUUGCCAGAAAAUACUUGACCUAAGGGAUGACCGCUUCUCACAUUCCUCUGUCAAUAAAAAAAUGCCGACAUUUCCAUCAUGUGUGUGUUCUGUCAAGGCCUCUAUCAUGGCCUCUGUUGCUGCUGUAGCAAGCUUCAAAUUAUAUAAUGAUGCAGAUGGUACAUAAGAAGAGAAAAGAAAAAAAAAAUACGUUGUUUAGUACUAAAAUUUGUAUUUAAUUUGAGUACAAAAAUAUUAGUUACCAUUCAAAAUUAUUGACUUGGUUUUCUGUUAUCACUUAUAAUAAAUUUAUUUUUUCAAGGCUUUUGUGAUAAUUAUUUGAUAGUGACGUGAAUGGUCUAUUUGACUUUGUUGUCUUGUAUCGCACCUAAAAACUUGUGAUAAAAACGUGGUUUUGAAGACCUUCGUCACAAAAUAUUAAUUAGGUAACGAGAAUGGUUUCUGUCCAUUCAAAUACCAAAAAUAUCAGAAGAGGCAGCCAACUUGUCCGCGUUCUUCAGCAACUCUGCCAUCAAUUUCAAAUCCCAGUCCUUAAAUAUUCUAUUUCGAAAACAGAUUAAACUGUAUUUUUCCUCAGUUUAAUUAAUUUAUGGUUGUGAAUAAAAUGAAUUGGAUAGGGUUGCCCGCACUUCUUCUUCUGCUACUCUUCAACACUGGAACAUCACAGUCCAUCAUCAAAACUCUUCCAGGUUACUCGGGUACUCUGCCCUUUAAACUUGAAACCGGGUCAGUUCUUUCAAUCGUUAUUUCGUUAGACAUUACUAUUUAAUUUCUUUUCAUGUUUAGCAGUGUUGAGUUCAUUCUGUUAUCAGACAUAAAUUAAAUUCAAGAAACUGAAUUCUUUGUAAAUUUUUGUUUGAAUGAUUGAUUAGAUACAUUGGUGUGGGAGAAAACGAUGAAGUGCAGCUAUUCUACUAUUUCGUUGAGUCUGAAAAUAAUCCUAAAACAGACCCUCUUAUAUUUUGGAUCUCUGGUGGGCCCGGUUGCUCUGGCUUAUCCACUCUCGUCUAUGAAACUGGUAAUCACUCUCUAUGAAUAUGUGUAUGUAUGUUUUGUGUGUCUAUAUAUACGCACUAAAAUUAAGUGUUUAUUUACCUUUUUCUAAGCUUAGAACUAAAUAAUUUUUAAAGACGUGCAUGUUCAUAGGAGUAACUUUUGACUUUUAAACGAGCCGGCUCGCGAGCCUAAAGUUUCGGCCCGGGUUUGGCCCGAUUAAAAUGGCUGAGCCUUUUUGCGGGCUCGAGCCAGGCCGAGCAAAAGCUCGGUCAAAAAAAAAAAGGCUCGGCCGAGCUUUUUGCUCGGGCUUUUUACGGGCCGAGCCGGGUAGGCUCGUUUUCUCCUUCUUUUUUUUUUUUUUUUCCUGUCUUCUAAUCUGCUGCCUUAAAAGGUAGCAAGGCAGCGAACUGCUGCUUUUUAAAGGCAACAAAACUGCCUUAAAAGGCAGCAAGCAAAGGCUGCAGCUUGCUGCCUUUUAAGCCUUAAAUUUAAAUUUAUUUAUUUUUUAUUAAAAAGCUCACGAGCUCACGGGCCGGCUCGGGUAAAGCCUGUGUUUCAAAAAUGGGGCUCGGUCGCGAGCUCACGGGCCGGCUCGAGCAAAGCCCGUGUUCCAAAAAUGGGGCUCGGCUCGAGUCUACCCGAGCCCCGAGCCUAGCUGGCUCGGGCGGCCCGAGCCGGCGAGCCCGAUUGCCAUCCCUAAAUACCACUUAAUCUUUAAUUAUUUCCUUUUGAGUAUUAACUACUCAACUUAAGUUUUCAAAAGAAUUAAACCACGAGCAGAGCCAAGUUUUGGAAUAGGAUGGAAAUACCACAAAUUUAUCACGCUAUUAUGAUUUGAUUAUUUUGGGUACCAACUAGAAUGUAAUAAGUUGGUUGAAAGAUAAAGAACAUUUUUCUUUUACCCUUUAGCGUGCUUUACAAAUCCCUUUAAAGAAAAGGAAUUUUUCCUUUUUUUUAUUCAAAGUAUUAUCUUUCCGUAUACACAUAGGGCACAUGACCCCAAAUAUGUGUCCCAUAUUCAAAGUAUUAUCGUUCCAUGUACACGUAGGGCACAUGACCUGACGUGAACCCGAAUAACACAAACACUAACAAAUCCACAGGAGAUUGAUAGGAAAAGCCAGGAAAGCCAAUUAACCGGUUUGUGAGUUUGAAUCCCAGGAAAACAAAUCAAACAACCACACAAUAAUUGUAAUUGAAGGACCACUUGAUUACUCAAAGACUCGCACCAGGAUUGAUGAACACCACAAGAAUUUAAUUGUUGAUAAGUUCUAUGGUGUUCAAUGAAGAACAAUUGGAAAAGAAAUCAAUAAUGCCUCUCAAGAAGAAUUCUCUCAAAUUGAUGGACAAAUGGAAUCUCCUCUACAAUGUAAGAAAGAUAGCAUAUUUAUACUAAUCUCAAAAACCCUAAAAACCUAUGAGAAAUUGGAAAAUAAUCGUCCAAGAUUACAAGAAUUUGACCAAAAUUAAAAUUCGAAUAAAAUAUGGAAACUCGCGAAAAAAGAAAACUUUCUGCCAAAAUUUUAUCUAUGUGGCCACAUGGAGUAAUUCUAUGUGGUCGCAUAGAAUAAACUUCAAUUGCCAAUGAAAUCUCUGCAUAGGUGCAUGCGAUCGCACUAUUCCCAGAACUAUGCGGUCGCAUAGUUGGCCCCAACAGCUUCAAAAUCCAAGUCUUGAAUUAAGUUGGUCCAAUGUGUUUUGACUCUUGACCUCAACAUGAAAGUUGUCCCACUUUGCGCCACGAAUGAUCUUUCAUCAAUUAUUGCUUGAACAAAUAAUCUUAUCACUUAUUUUACCCUCUUGGCCCUUGAUCGCAUCAUCGGUCCACCUUUGAUAAUCAACAGGUCUCGUCCUGACCUUAUCUUCGUUGGGCUCGACUCUUGGAUCACAUCAUCUCCUCCCUCUUCAAAAGGAUUCGUUCUCGAAUCUGUACCUACAUCAAAGAGAAAGAGAUCAGACACAUUAAAUGUAGCUAAAACAUUAUACUUACCUAGGAGAUCUAGAUUGUAAGCAUAGUCAUUGAUCUUCUCGAUAGCUUGAAAUGGAUCGUCUCCUUGUAGUUGCAACUUUAACUUCCUUUGCUUUGAAAAGCGAUCCUUUAUGAAAUGCACCCAUACCUAGCCACUUGGUUCAAAGGUGACGCUUUUCCUGCCUUUGUUUACCUGUGAUGCAACGAGCUUAUACUUGUUCUCGAUUUGCAACUUAAUCUUUUCAUGAAGUGACGUUACUAGUUCAGCCUUUCUUUAACCAUCUAAACUACUACGUUCAUUCAUAGGUAACGAUAUUAAGUCCAAUGGGGUUAGUGGAUUAAAACUAUAAACAAUUUCAAAUGCAGAUUCAACAAAAGGCUAAUACUCCUCCCAACCUUUCAAAUUUUUAUACGCAAUAAUUAUUAACUAUCUUAGGUUGUCCAUUAGUUUGUGGGUGACAAGUUAUGAAAAACAACAAUUUAGUAUCCAACUUACCCCACAAAACCCGUCAAAAAUGACUCAAAAACUUUACAUCUCUAUCUGACACUAUGCUCUUGGAGACCCCCAUGCAGACGUACUACCUCUUUAAAGAACAAAUCUGCUAUUUGUGUGCAUCUUCUGUUUUGUGACUUGGUAUAAAGUGCGCUAUCUUACUAAACCUAUCUACUACCAUAAAGAUUGAAUCAUGUCCCUUCUUAGUUCUAGAUAAACCCAAAACAAAAUCCAUUGAAAUUCGACCUAUGGUUCACUAGGUGUAGGUAAUGGCUUAUAAAGUCCCUGGGGGUAAAACUCUAAACUUAGCCUUCUUGUAAUUUAUGCAUUGACUACGAAUUCUCUCAACUUCACUUUUCAUCUUAGGCCAAUAGAAAUGCUCCCCUAACAUCUCUAAAGUCUUUUGUACCCCAAAGUACCCCACCAAUCCACCAUCAUGUGCUUCCCUCACUAGUAAAUAUCGCAUUGAACAAUUAUGAAUACAUAACUUAUUUUCCCAAAACAAAUACCUCUCACGCUUAUAAAACAUAUGUACAACCCCCUUAUCACAUGAUUUGUAAAUUUCGAAAAAAGUCCAAGUCAUUUUCAUACGUACCCUUAGCAUAUUCAAAGUCAAGCAAUUUAGUGCUUAGUGAAUUUAACAACGCGUACCUUCGAGAUAAAGCAUCUGCCACUACGUUUUCUUUACCUUGCUUGUACUGAAUGAUGUAGGAAAAUGUAAUAAUGAACUACAUCCACUUGACAUGCCUCUUGUUUAGCUUUCCUUGUCCCCGCAAGUGCUUUAAUCACGAACUCCUUAGGUCAUAAAUAAUGCUGCUAUGUCUCCAACGUCCGAACAAGUAAGUAUAGUUCCUUGUCAUAUGUCGGGUACUUUAGUGCAGUCCCACUCAGUUUCUCACUGAAAUAAGCUAUAGGCCUCUUUUCCUGCAUUAACACUGUUCCAGUGCCUAUUCUCGAUGCAUCACAUUCAAUCUCAAAUAUUUUGUCAAAAUUCGGUAAUGCUAAAACAGGUGUUUUACACAAUUUUUCCUUAAUAGUGUUAAAUAAAUGUUCCUGUUCAUCACCCCAAUAAAAAUCUACGCUCUUCUUUAUUACUUUUGUGAGUGAUAUAGUGAUUGUGCUAAAGUCCUUUACAAACCGCCUAUAAAAACUAGUCAACCCAUGAAAGCUCCUUACUUCAGUUAUACACUUAGGUGUAGGCCAAUCUUUAAUAGUUUUUUAUCUUCUCCUCAUCUACCUUUACCCCAUUAUCACUAACCAUAAAAUCUAGAAAGACAACAUUUUUUAUGCAAAAAGUACAUUUUCUUAAAAUUAGUGUAGAGUUGUUCUUUCCUUAACACCACUAGCACACUUUUUAAAUGCUCUACAUGCUCCUUUAGGUUUUUGCUAUACACUAGAAUGUCAUCAAAAUAAACUACAUCAAAUUUUCCUAUAAAAGUAUGCAAAACGCAUGAAAGCGCUCGGUGCAUUAGUAAGUCCGAAAGGCAUUACCAACCACUCAUAUAGUCCAUAUUUGGUCAUAAAUGCUGUUUUCCACUCAUCAUCUUCCCUCAUUCGAAAUUAAUGGUAACUACUUUUAAGAUCAAUUUUACUAAAAAUGCAGGCACUAUGUAAUUCAUCUAUCAUGUUGUCUAACCUAGGGAUAGAGUGACGAUACUUUACCGUUAUAUUAUUGAUGGCUCUGCAAUCCACGCAUAUCCUUCAUGUCCCAGCUUUCUUUGGCACCAAUAGUACUGGCACGGAGCACGGACUCAUGCUAUUCCUAACAUAAGCUUUGCUCAUCAACUCCUUCACUUACCUCUGAAUCUCUUUUAUUUCCUUGGGAUUACUCCGGUAAGCUGGUCAAUUUUGAAUGACAGCUCUAGAUAUGAAGUCGAUUUGGUGCUCAAUGCCUCGAAUGGGGGGCAAUCCACUAGGCAUGACCUCCUGGAAUACAUCCUCAAACUCUUGCAACAAUGACUUAGCCAAACUGGGGAGAUGUGAGUUAGUUUCCUUAAAAUUGAGGAGUGGCUCUUUGUAGACCAACAAAAUCAUUUCCCUCCUCGACUGCCACUCUCCUUAGCUCACUUUCUUUUGCAAAGAAAUUCAUUCUCAAUUUUUCUCUCCUCUUGGAAGACUCCUUUUCCUUUUGCUCUUGUGGCUUCUCUCAUUUUUUUCUCGACUCACCACCUCACUUUUUUCUCUCUUACUCACUAUCUCAUUAUUUUCUCUCUUUUUCUCCAGUUCUCUUGCUCUUCUCUCUUCUUCAUUUUUCAGUCUAAUUUGGUUUUCAUACACUUGUACCGGUGUUAAUAGUACAAGGGUAUGGAUCUUCUGCUAUUGACAAAGUUGUAUCGAUUCUUGUACCCAUCAUGAAUAACAUUUCUGUCGUAUUGACACAGUCUUCCCAACAACCGAUGCCCUGCAUGCAUAGGUACCACAUCACUUACCACUUCAUCACCAUAACUCUCAAUUGAGAAAUUUAUCAAAACCCCCCCUAUUAAUCGUAAUUUCUCCACAUUCGUUCAACCAUUGAAAGUUAUAAGGUCUAGAGCAUUUUAAUAAUGUUAGUUCUGAUUUUUCUACCAAUGUUGUACUAGCCACAUUCGUACAACUCUAACUAUUGAUGAUUAGACUACAUACCUUUUCCUUUAUGUUGCAUUGAGUGUAAAAAAUAUUUUCCCACUACUGCUCCAAAUCAUUCGUCACGACCAACUACUCUCCUAUAGCAUAUUCCACUCUCUCCCAAUCACUAAUUUCUUCUAAUGCUGGUAUAUCAUCAUACUCACCUUCACUUUAGCUCACCGUCUCUUCAUUGUCCCACAACACCAUUACCCUUUUGUUUGGACACUGAGAAGCUCCAUUCAUUGAUAUGACUAAUAUUUAAUAACAAUCCCAAAUAAAAUAGCUAGUUUAUUGUCUUGUGCACAACAUAAUAUACAUAAGGCUUCCUACAGAAGAGACAUGAUGAACCUUCUUCAUUUAUUCCGCUUUAUUAUGAGUUUUAAGGAAAUGCUCCCAUGAAAUGUAUAUUCUAUGUCUAAAAAGCAUUCGACUUUUUUGGAAUUUUACAUAGCAAACCUCACCACUAUCUUGUAUGUGUAUUAAGCUCAAAAGUGAGCAACUUUCAUAUUCUUCCUAUCUUGAAGGAACAUAAUUGUCAUCACCCAAGUUCUUUAUGUCAUUCUGGCUGUACCAACCAAUUUGUCAAUGAUUCAAUAUCUUUGCUAAAUAGGAUGUCGUCGAUUUACAACACUAAAAAUAUCACCAUAUUGUCCUUAAUAUGCUUAUGAAAAUGAGCUAUAGUGGAUAAGAAGAUUUUUAUAGACUUAAGCAUGACAACAACUAAGAAGGUCUCCUGAUAAUCUAGAGCUCCAAAUUGGAUAAAACCCCUAGUAAAUAGUCUUUCUUUAAAUGUCUUUACCCUUCUGUCUGUCCCUCUUUUCUUGUAGACCCAUUUUCUCCCUAUGAGUUUUAACCCAAUGAGGAGAUUUACAAGUUUCUAGACAUUAGUUAGUGUUGAUGGACUUUAAUUUGAACCUUUGGAACUCUUCUAAUGGUAACUGCGUAAUCUUCCUUAGAUUCUUCAUACAAAGAAAGACCCUUAUUUUUUGCAGUAGUGGAGACUACUUCCAAAGACUCUCCAUAUAGCAACUAUGUAGAAGGAGGUCGAAUGGUUCUCCCACUACAUCAAACAUAUGGAGGUUCUUAGCUAGUUGGAAGUUUCAAUUGUUCAUUCAAUGCUUCUCCUAUACCGUGUCCCUCCACUUUAGUCUCAAUACCACGCGGUGAUUAAAGAGUUGGAACUUAAUCCUCUGUCACCUUUGAGGUCGUGAAGUCAAUGGUCUCGGCCGAUGAAACCUCCAUACCAUGGGUGAUAGAGGCAUGACUUCUUCUUGAGUACGUUUAGUACAGAUCUGGAGCAUAUGAGCUGAUAAUGUUUCACCUAAUUUCAUCCAAAAGAACGUUAGUCUUGGAUUGACGUUCUUCUAUGCGCGUGUCCUCUUAAAAGUCUCAAUAUCAAACAGUGAUUAAACAGUUUGAAAAAUUAUUCAUCAAUAUCUCAACUUCUAGAUUAUUUAUUUCGAUUUUUGUAGAUUUUGAAUUUAUAACUUAGUUAGAGCCUAUUUGAGCCCAUUUUGUUUAAGAAUACAUUUUGAAAUAGUAGAUUGAUAGUGAAUGUGUGGUUAAAACAUAAGGAGAAGUCUUGAUUUUGCGUGCAAUAUUAUUUUGUUGAAGAAUGUGUGGUUGAAAAAAAAAGAGAAAAUAUAUUUUGGAAAUAGUGAAAAUCAAACAAGGGCUUAAUUUAUGUCUCUUGUUAAUCAAGGACCUAAGUUGUCUUAGGUUGAUAGAUUUUAAUGAACAACAAUAUUAACUAAUCAUCUAAAAAAUUUACAUGGUUAGAUAUUGAAAAAUCAUUUUAAAUUUGAAUUAGCUAAAUAAAUAAAUUAUUUAAAUAGACAAAUUUGGAGAGUGAUAUAAACUCUCUCCUUCUAUGAAUUUCAUCUUUGAAAUUCACAUAAAUAGUAGAUAUUAUUCCCUCAUCUCAGAUUCUCAAAUCUAGACAUUGUAAGAAUAACUAAAAGGAUUGGAUACAUGAAGCAAAACAAUUUAAUGAAAAUUAAAGCAUAAUAGUCAGUCUAUGGUCGACUAUUCAAAUACUUGACAAUAGUUCUUUAUCCUUAUAAUUUAAAUACUUGACAUUGUCAGUCUCCUUUACUCCUUAUUACUCUUCAGCGACAAUAUAUACCCUUGAUGGAUUACGGAUAGUUGUUUUAACAGGCAAUUCACUUUUUAUAUGUUUUGGUUUCUUGUAGACAUAGCAUAUUUUCUAAUUGAAUUGACAUCUACCGCUAUGUUUUCUAUUGCAUUUAUUGAAGUUUGGGAUUAUUGCAAAAGAUGGGUUAGUGAUCCCGAAAGGUUGGAAUUGAUAGAGAAGGGCUUAGGGUCUUAUUCCCAUACUUGGAUGAUUGGAUAACUAUUUGAGUGCAUGCCCAAUUGGCUAUGGUCCGUUGCGGCUAAGUAAGCGACCCACUCUAUUCUACCAUUCAAUCAUUAUAGCCUACCUACAAUGAUCCAAUCUCUGAUAGAUUUUGACUUUUUCCAUGGAUUCGGUGGUAAAAGGGAUUGUAUGAUUUUAUUUCUUUAUGGGAAAGGUGUAACUAAAUUCUCGAUUCUUACCUUGCAUGUCCUCUUGGUUACAAUUCAUUUGGAUUUGUCCUAAUAUCUUCCAUUACUCUCAUUGGGUGAUGAAGGGCUAAGGAUCCUUGCACUUUAAUUAUCCUUUAGGGGAGUGUAUUCAAUUGAAACUUUUAAUAACUUUCUAAGAUUUAAAAAGUUUGAAGGUAUUCAAUUGAGACUUUUUGAGACUCCCUAAAAGUCACGAUGUACUCAAUCAAGACUUUUAUAGAAAAGUUACAAUGUAUUUAAUUAAAACUUUCUAGAAGUUUCUAUAAGUCUUAGGGUAUUCAAAUUUUAGUGACUUCCAGAAACUUUUAUAAAAGUUUCUGGAGUAUUAACUUUUGAGCAGAAAGUAUUCAUAUAAAAUAUUAAAAUUUGUCUUUUAUUAAUCACGAGAUUUUGGGAGACUUUAAAAAAAAAAAAAAAGUUUCUUUCUUUUUUGUCUUUCCUUUAACCUUCUAUGGACAUGUAUGAUUAAAUCUAUUUUUUAUUGAUUAUAUUCCAUUUAUAUUUCUUUCUCUCUCUUAUUAUUAUUAUUAUUAUUAUUAUUAUUAUUAUUAUAUAAGAAGGGGAAGUAAAAGGGGAACUGUGAAAACUAACACCUCGUAUGUGAGAAAUCAUACUAGAUUAACAUGAAUUAUAUUUCAAAUGAAAGUCUUCAAAAGUAUUUCGAAUUCCACAAAAAGUAUAUAAAAAUUUUAAAUGAAAAUCCAUAGAAGUCUAUGAAAGACUUUCACUAAUUCAUAUAAAUCUAUAAAAGAUCUACAAAAUCUACAAAAGUCAUCACUUAAAAAAAGUCCAUCAAAAUCUUCGAAAGUCCCAAUUGAAUACACUCCUUUUAGUUUUGCUUGCUCUGCCUCUAAAGCUCGAUUUAUUGUGGUAAGUGCAAUCCCUAGAGUUCUUACCAUUUUUACAUCUUUAUUUAACUGAUGUAAUCAAGCGAGAAAAAUAUAACAUCCUCUAUUUUUGGCGACUUUUAGGAAUUUUUUGGAGAUCUUUACCAAGAUUAUGGGUAAGGUGCUAUAGUUUAAUAUAGUUCAACUAGUGCCAAAUAUAAAAUUUUGGAAACCAUGCUAUUUUUAAGGAUGAGAAAGUUAAAUGGCUCAAAGAGGGAAACUGUGGUGCAAUCACUGAUUGUGAAAUUAUGGACGAUUAUGGCCUAUAGAAUUUCACCAAGCGGCAUAACAAGGGUCACACAUUAUAUUAAAGAAAUUUAUUCCCCUAGCCUUAUCAUUAUAAAGGAUUAAUAGCAGAAAACUUCCCUAAGAAUGUUUCUAUAUGCGAUAUAUCUCUUACCUAUUGAAAAUUGUAGAAAAUUUCCCUGUUUGAAACCUUUUGUGCAAAAAAUUUCAUGUCGUCAUGAUCCAUUAGAUUUGUCUUUAAAAAUAGUAAAAAUUUCCAAAAUUAAUAAGAAAUAAUUGUAAUUUCAGUACCCAAACCUUCUAUUUUUGUUACGAAUUAAAUCCAACUUUCUUCCAUGUAGUUCUGAACAACGAAAUCGUCAAACCACAAAAUCGAGCCCAAACCCUUUUUUUGAAACUGUUGGUUUGAUUUCACUAGGAUUCGUCAACGUUUUGAUUUUGAACCGAACCAAAUCGAUUUGGUUUAGGUUUCAAUCUUUGCAAACCAUUUACCCAAAAAAAAAUUGUAAAUAAAUUAGUCUAAAUUUUAUUUGACCUAAUUAAAACUUAACACAUUUCAAUUAAAAAAGAUACAUCAAUAUUAGACAUAAUUCAAUUAAACUCAAUUCGAUAAUUGUACAUCUCAAUUAAUUAAUUAAAUCAUGUCCAGAUACCAUCAGUCAUCACAACUGUGAAUUUAAAAUCCUCAAAUUGGAUAAAGUGUUGAACAACUGUUGCUAAAUCAUAUUUAUCAAUCCUCUAUUAUAAUUGAGUAGAUAAUUAAAUAUAGAUUUUAAUUCAAACUUACACAUUUCAUUUUCUUCUAUUAAUAAUUUUCUCAAAUUUUGCCUAAAAGUAUCGUCUCAUGAUAAAUAUACCUUAAAUUGAGAAAAUGAGGAUCAGUCGUGUGGGUAAAAGUAUCGUCACGUGAUUAAUACACUUUAAAUUCAAAGAUUGAGGAUUAGUUGCGUGGGUAAAAAUAUCGUCCCACGAUAAAUAACUUUAAAUUGAAUCAUAUUUACUUGCUAUCAAACUCGAACAUCACCGUAACAAAUUGUUUAACUAUUUAUUUCUAAUUAUCCUACUAAUUAUCUAAAAGGUUAUGAACUAAAUAUAAGAAUGAAGUUUUGGAAUUCUGAAUCCAUCUAUUAUUAUCCUAUUUCCAAUUCUCGACACAUAUUAUCUAGUAUGAUCUUUGUAUCCUUGAUAGUCGAUAGUUUAAUUAUAUUCAACUAUUUUUCCACGUGGUGAGUCAAUCAUAUUCUAAGCUUGACCCAAUCCCGAAUUCUUAUACAAAGUAAUGCAUUUAAUUAUACGAUUACCUAUAUAAUUGCACAAGCCAUAAUUGCCAUUUGCUAACACCAAUUGAUUUGUAUGUUAACAUUGUAAUAUAUUAGACUUAUCAUGAACCCCGCCCCCCUGAAAAACAAGCAACGAAUUACAUAGAUGGUGCUCUAGCAUUCAUGUAAUUCAACAAUGCAUGAAACACCAAUCAAGAACACGAAUUCACUAAAUAAAUGGUUAUUGAAUUGAAAAUACUCAAAUAUUAGUUUUCAUCUUCAUCCCAACACAAUGAAGUCUUAGCCUAGCAUGUUUAUAAUAGAAUUACAAGUAGUGUUAUGAAAUCGCUCAGCACGUAUGAAUACAAGAGAAAGAUAGAAAAUCUAAUUUUCACUUUUGAUCUUCGAUUCCAAGGCUCGAUCUUCAAAAUUUUUAUGUUAAUUGCCUUCAAUAGGUUGCAAGAGUUUUCUCAAAGUAAAAGUAUGAUGAAAUCCUUAAUUUGAGUUUCUAAGUAGGUUAAAUUGAGGCCAAAAUGACAUUCCAAGAUUGCAAGAAACAAGAAAUUGAGAAAAAAUAAUCCCCAAAUUUUAGUGGCAUGCUAUCGCAUGGUACUAAGCCUUGCAAUCGCAUAGAAAAAUCAUUGCUCGCGGCUUUUCUUCUAACAUGCAUUGCAAUCGUUAUGGUGACCUACCGUACACCUUCAAUUUUAGACCAAGUGCAUUUUAAUCCAUGUUUUCUAUCUCUUGUAUAGCUCUCGUUCCUUAUAAUUGUAAUUAAGGUCCUCAUCUUCCAAAUCAAAUAUAAUUGAUCCUCAAUCUCUGAAUUAUGUAUUGAAUCCAUCCUUUUAGCUCGAUUUUCAUUCCUUUAUGACUAUGACACUUUCAAUAUCAAGUUUUACCUAAACAAAUAAUAUAUACACGAGAUUAAAUCCUAAUCUUCCUAGUUUAGCGACCUAGAUAAGUGCAUAAAAUACACUUGUCUAAUUUUAUUAAACCCCCAUCUCUAGCUCUUUGCAAAAACAUAUUAUAAUGUGAUGAAGGUACAUGAUUGAAACCGCACAUUUAUGUCCAUCACUAGCCUCUCCAAAUUGACAAAUCCAACAGUUACUAUCACUCAAAGGAAAAUUAAGGUAGAAAAAAUUAUAUGCCUUAUUUUCUGAAGGGGAAUACAUCAAUCAAUAAAGCUGGCUGUACUAAUGUGUUCCUUAAACCGACAAUUCUAAUUUUCAUAUAAAGUCUUUGAAUAAUCUACAAGUUUUAGUUGAUAAGGUCCAAUUUUUGAUAUAUCUGUUUAAUUUGAUCUCGUUCAUCAACUGGCUGCUCACAUGUUUGCUUUCACGGAUGAAGGUUGAUGUUACAUUAUAACUCCCCGACAUUAUUCCAACAGUCCAAUUCAUAAAUAAUCCAACAAUCCAACCAAGUCUGAAAAAUAAAAGCAUCAAGCCUCCAUCAUAAUACCUGCUUUAUCUCAUAGCGCCAUGGAAAUAUGUAAUCAGAGCAACCAAAUCUGAAAUUAAUACAAAUUAUAUAGUUUUUGACAUUUAUUUCAUCGAAGACUGAAUUACUCUUUAAAUUAUUUAACUUUUCCAACUGUUUACACAUUAUUCUCCAAAGAACAACUUCCCUAUUAGAAAUUGGUAUUUACAACGAGAAAUAUGUUUAGAGAUAGAAAAAAAUAUUAUUCUUUUGAUUUAUAAUUCAUAAUAAAACUUUAAUUAUUCUCACACCUAUUAGUGUGCUUUUGCACAGGUCCAUUUUAUUAUGAUGUGGCAGAUUUUGAUGGAAGCUUACCAUCUAUUCUCCCAAAUCCAUAUUCAUGGACCAAGGUAUAAAUACCUCUCUAUUCUUCAUGAUUCAAGUCAUGUACGUAUGUCUAUCUUUAUAAUAUAGUUAUAUGGUUUUCAGGUUGCCAGUAUCAUAUUCAUUGAUUCGCCUGUUGGUACCGGAUUUUCUUAUGCAAACACAUCAAAAGGUUACUCUUCCUCAGACAAAAAAUCAGCAAAAGAUAAUUACACAUUUCUUAGGAAGGUAGGUCACCAUCAUCUAUUAUACAUGUGAUAUUCCUAUGCUGAAAUUGAAGUAAAUAGAAAUAAAGUUCGAUGUCAAACUUAGUAGCCCUCACACAUUCCUAACUAUAUGGACUCUGCCACCAUUUUUUGUUUGAUUAGUGAACUAACAAUAUAUUGAAAAUACUAUAGUGGUUAUUGAAUCACCCCAUGCUUAGCAAAAAUCGUCUAUAUGUUGCGGGUGAAUCCUACGGAGGCAAACUUGUUCCCAUGGUUGCCAUGGAAAUAUUACUAGGUAGUAUUCUAUAAGAAAAAGCUUAGAAGAUUUCAUUCAAUUUCUUCUUGUCAUCCAACAAAGAUUGAUUAAGUUGUUACUCCUGAUUUUAAUGCAGGUAACGAAGCGGGAUUACGGCCACGAAUGUCCCUACAAGUAUUGUUUAGCCCACACAUUUAUUUUUCAAUACUAUAACAUUUUUUUUGUGUUAACGGUAGAGUACUUUGAAAUCAAAACAGGGAUACAUUAUUGGAAAUGGAUUAACAGAUCCAAACAUCGAUUAUAAUGAACGAAUUCCAAUUGCUCACCGCUUGGCACUUAUAUCCGAUGAAUAUUUUGAGGCAAUCUUUUUUAUUUAAUUAUUUUGAUGAUCAAAUUUAGCAUUUUGCAUAUUAUUUUCUUGUAAUUACGUGGCAAAAUUUCAGCUAGCAAAAGUUAGCUGUGGUGGGAAAUAUGACAAUCCUGAUCCAAAUAAUGUGCAAUGUCUUUUAGCCCUUCAACCUAUCAAAGAGGUAACAUUUUAUCUUGUUUUGUUUUUCUUUUCCUUUGAAAUUAAAUAUAUAUUUCAUAUCACUAAAAAUUUCAUGAUCUAUUGCAGUGUGUAAACCAAAUAAAUGAAGGUCAUAUAUUGGAACCAAAAUGUAAACGCCUACCAAAAACAGAUAAUUUUGGAUGGGAUCUUACAUUUUCGAAAGACGAUUCUGUUGAUCACCUCGUCCUCCAAGUAUCCAAACAAGAUCGACAAUGGUGUCGCGUAACUCAAUUAAUCCUCUCUCUCUAUAUACAAGUUGGCUUAAAAUUUAUUUUUCCAGAAAAUAAGUUAAUACUUACUUCUUCAGUAAGGAAAGAAAUUUUUAAAACUACCUUUGGUAGAAAAGAAGCUUAUAGCAAUAUUUACCUUUGUUUUCUAACUCUUAGACAAGCAUGCUUCUCAAGAACUGAUUUCUUUUCUACAGAGUCAAAACUAUGAAUCAUGUUAUGUUUGGGCAAAUGAUUUGACUGUCCAAGAAGCUCUUCGUAUUAGAAAGGUAUGUUAAAUAAAAAAAUAUUGAAGAUUAAGUAUGCUUUACCAUGUGCUAGCUAUCAACUAAAACAAGAUCAUAUAUUUUAUGAAAAAUAAUUUAGGUUAAUCACGUAUUUUGAUUAUCAGGGGACAAUUGGAGAGUGGAUGAGAUGUAACCGCAGCAUAUCUUAUGAAGUGAAUCAAAAAAGUGUUCUUCAUUAUCAUGAAAUUUUCAGCAAUAAAGGAUAUAAUGUUUUAAUAUACAAGUGAGUCAUAAGUUUCUUGCUUAAACUAAAUUAUGACUCAAUUUGUUCUAAGUUUAGUCUUAUCCAUCAACUAAAAUAUAUUUUCUGCCAUAUAUUUCAAUGUAGAUCAUUAAUCUACAAACGUAACUAAACAAAUUUGUAAAUUUAUCUAUGUUUUCUAAUUAUGCUUAUUUUCUUUCAGUGGUGAUCAUGACCUGCUGAUACCUUAUAUGGGUCCUUUAAAAUGGAUUCGCAAUCUCAGUAUGACUAUUGAUGAUGACUGGAGACCUUGGCAUGUUAAUGGCCAAGUCGCGGGGUUGGUUUCCAUUUUCCGAUGUGUGUGUGUGUCAUAUUUCCAUAAUUUUAAUAAACUUUAAACCUUGUAGAUACACAAUGAAGCAUAAGAAGAAUGAAUUCAACCUCACAUUUGUAACAGUGAAGGCAAGAAAUGUUUGACUAUUCUCUUUCCUACAAAAAUUUGAAAAAAAAAAUUUCAAGAAAUGAAUGCGCGAUUUUAUUUUGCAGGGUGCAGGUCAUACACCACCAGAGUACAAGCCUAAAGAAUGUCUUGCGAUGAUACACCGGUGGCUCUCAACACGUCUCUUAUAGGUAUUGAUAGACAAGCAUGUUUUAGGGGUUCAUUUGCACGGUGCAGGUCAUAUGACCUUACUUUUAUUUAAGUUUGUUGGCCAACAGGCCCCACCGUAUAUCCCAUAGAAGCAUGGCUUCCUAAUGACGUUGUCACAUCAUAACAUGUUGAUUCUCUUGAAUAUGUCAACCAUAGUUUAUACUAAAAAGAGAACUAUGUGACUUUAAUUCUAGAAAACAAUCAGUUAAAAGAACUAAAACUUCCAAUGACUUGAUAAAAUUAUUUUUUUCUCUUUGAGAUCUUCUUAAUGUUAUUCCUUAUGGUUCUACUAUUGUUGAAUCAUGAGGGACAUUUUCAUUACUAUGUGUUUGAUCUUUUAAUUGUUAUUCUUAAGCAUUAUUAGGUUGUAAAACUAUCUUGAAAACAACAAAGCUAGAAGAUGUAGGCAAAAGAAUCUGUACCCUUGCUUUUUGAAUAACUACUUUACGUGACUAUUCACUCCCGCUAAUUUCAUCUUUUUCAAUAAACCUAGCAUUUCUAGAUUCAAUAAUUCAUAUAUAUAUAUAUAUAUAUAUACCCCAUUUGUAAUUCCAUCAAUUACUCGUCGAUCAAAAAAAUGAGUUAAUUGAGCUAAUUCUCUUACCGCCCCAGUUAAGGAUGUUGUAUAAAAAGCAUCUAGUGCAGGUUACAGAUUCGGUCAAGGGGAAGAAACUUAUAAUAUUGCCGCUCAUGGUUAUUUUGGCCGAUUAAUCUUCAAAUAUGCUAGUUUCCUUUCGUGUAGGUCGGAACUUACCCGACAAGGAAUUUCGCUACCUUAGGACCACUAUAGUUACGACCGUCGUUCACCGAGGCUUCGGUCUCACGCUCUACCACUGAGCUAAUAGCCUGUCGUGCGAGCCUCCUAUUGGGGGCCUGCUAUGCCCAAAGCGAGAGAAACCCCAUCUCUCUCUUUCCUUUUUUCGCCCCCAUGUCGCCACACGUGUGUGUGUGUGUAUAUAUAUAUAUAUAUAUAUUGUAUAAAGGCAAACAGUUGUUUCUGGAAUAUAAGUUUCUCCUUCCAAACAAUCUGGCAGAAUUAUCAUAACGUAAUUUUUCCAGAGUAAUGGCAUGACCAACAGGAUCAAAAAAAAUAAAUUCGAGCCAUCGACUUCACGAUAUUUUCUUAAAACGAAAUUGCUACCUGCAAUAGUGUUAAAGGCUUGCAGCAAUCGUUUUCUAGGAUAGAACGAAUUACGUCUCAUAUGGAAGCAGCAUAGCAAUCUACAAGAGUUCCAAUGAACACAUCAAAGUGUUUUUACUUUGAAAAUAAUAUCAGAACAAGAGAGAGAGGGAGUAUGAGAUUCAAUGCAUAGAAUGUUUGCAAUGAAAAUGGUGUAAUUUUUUUGAUAGCGGGGCAAGCUAUUUAUAGACUUGUUCGUGGCCAUUCUAACAUCCUGCAGAAUAGUCUUCACUGUUCAAAAAGCCUUCAAAACUCAAAUAGACCUAUGAGUACAAUAUCGUGUCUGUUAAGUCGGUUAACAGUGGACAGUUUAAUUGGUUAACAGUCGAUUAUUUGGUCGGUUAACAAACGACUAUUUAACAAACUAUCUAGACUUAAAAAUUACCCGAAAAUAAGCAAAAAAAUUAAAUUUCAUUAAGUACUCAAAAAUUUGAUUAUUUACAAUUUUCUCCAAAAAGUUAAUAUAGCGCAAGAGCCCACUCGUACUCGAACACGAACCGAAUUGGACUCAGACACGAGCAAGUGCUCGUGCUCGUGCUCGUGCCGUGCCAAGCCAAGCCAAACCCGCCUGAAGGCGACAACGGUGUCGUGUGUGUGUGGGUUUAUAACCGAACCCGAUAGAAUAUAGGUUUCCUCCUUCCAAAGACUAUUGGUACCGUUGGGACACAACUCCAAUUUCCACACCAUAUAAACCACACUAAAGUUUCCUAACUUUCCUAUGUAGGAUAAGUGUUAGGCAAAUCAAAUUAUUCCAUAUUCAUAGUUUCAAGUAGAUUACUUUGACAUUCAAUAUUUCAUCCAAUUGUAAAUGUUUUUCGACAAAUAAAUAUAUCACGUUAAUCGCCUCGCGGAGUAGAAGGUGAAUAUAUUAGGUCUCGUAUUAAUUAAAAUGUGGGUCCCACUAAAACUGGGCUCAAAGUUGACCCAUUUCACUAAUAAUUUUUCAACAAUCCCCCACAUAAAUGAAAUAUGUCGGUCUUUUCCAAACAACAAUAUUUGAUAAAAUUUUUGAAGUAAAAUUGAAGAAAACUGCAUCGGGAUAAGUAGCCAAAGGCUUUGAGCUUUUCCGAGUAAAAUUUAUUGAAUUUACUUAGCCAAUCAGUAGCAAAUUGCUUUGAGCAGUCAGUCGUUCAUGUAAAUCUAGACAAUAGAAGUCACACAAUUCUCUUCAAACACAAUUGAUUCUCACAUUUGUGUUCAUUUUGGUUGGACACCUCCUGGUUCAUGAGUAUUUUUAGAGAAUUCAUCUUCACCUAAUUCUUUUAGAAGGGGUACCUUCUCAACCACAUAUGUGGUUUCUAUAAAGAGUAUUCUACUGUACUCCACUUGAAUAAAUUAAUAUAUAGAAACCAUUAAAUGCGUAACUUAACCUAUCUCGCUGCAGUUAAGCACUGGCUCAUUAUGGGAAUUGGUAGGAGUAAAAAUCUCAUUAUGGGAAUUGGUAGGAGUAAAAAUCUCCCUAGUAUGUAAUAAGUUUUUCACAGUUCGGUGGUCCCUUUGAACUUAGAUCUUGAGAUCUCCAGUCAACUAGGUUAGGUUGCCAACAUGGAAACUUUUUUAUUACUGUAUUGGUUUUAAUCCCAUCACCUUUAAUGAACUUUCGACCUGCUCUCUUGUUAAACUUUUCGUUAGCGGAUCCGUAAUAUUCUCUUUUGAUUUCACAUAAUCUAUAAAGAUAAUAUCAGUAGAGAUCAAUUGUCUAACAGUAUUGUGUCUACGAUGUAUAUGUCGAGAUUUACCGUUAUACAUAGCAAUUUAUGCCCUACGAAUUGCUGAUUGACUAUCAGAAUACAUACAUAUCACAGGCAUAGGUUUUAUUCAACAUGGAAUAUCUUCUAGAAAGUUUCGUAGUAAAUGGCUUCUUCUCCAACUUUGUCUAAUGCAAUGAAUUCAGAUUCCAUCGUUAAUAUAGCUAUAUAUGUUUAUUUUGAAGAUUUACAUGAUACCACAGCACCUCCAAGUGUAAAAAUAUAUGUACUUGUUAACUUGGAGUCUUUAGUAUCUGAUAUCCAAUUUACAUCAUAAUAUCAUUCAAGUAAUGCUAGAUAUCUCGAAUAGUGCAAUCCAGAGUUUUUGGUAUUUUUUAAAUACCCUAAAACUCUAACAAUUGCAGGAACAAAUCAAUAAGGAUAGAGAACAUUGGAGACAAGUAUUAUUAAGAAUAAUAUCCGUGGUUAGAACUCUGGCAGAAAAUAAUUUGGUGUUUCGUGGAGAUAAUGAGAAGAUAUACCAAGAAAAUAGUAGUAUUUUCUUAAGCUUAAUUCAAAUAAUUGCUGAGUUUGAUCCUGUAAUACAAGAGCAUAUUCGUCGAAUUCAAAAUAAAGAAAUUCAUUAUCACUAUCUUGGACACAAAAUUCAGAAUGAGUUGAUACUUAUGCUAUCGGGUGAGAUCAUGAAAAUAAGCAUCGAGAAAUUCAAAGAAUCUAGGGGCUUUUCUGUGAUAUUUGAUUGCACUCCAGAUUUGAGUCACGAAGAACAAAUGUCUAUAACACUGAGGUGUGUUGAUAUUUCAACAAGUCCAGUGAAGGUAAAAUAAUUCUUUUUAGAAUUUUUAUUGGUGGAUAAUACAUCUGGAAACGGACUUUUUGAUGAAUUAGUGAAUGUGUUAAAUAAUUUAGAACUUGAUAUUGAUAAUAUAAGGGGUCAAAGAUAUGAUAGUGGUGUUAACAUGAAAGAAAAACAUAAAAGGGUACAUAAUAGACUACUACAAGUAAAUCCUAGAGCAUUUUACAAUCCUUGUAGGUGUCAUAGUCUCAAUUUUGCUACUUGUUGUACAAAAGCUAAAUCUAUAUACUCUAUUUUCAUCAUCUACUAAAAGAUGAAAAUUUUUUAAAGAUAAUGUAAAUGGUCUUACUCUUAAGCCUUUGUCUCAAACACGUUGGGAAAGUCAUGUUGAAAGUAUUAGAGCAAUAAGAUUCUAAGUUCCACAAAUAAUAAAUGCUCUACUUGAAUUGGCAAGAGUUGAUGAUCCUAAGACAAAAAGUGAGGUGAAGUGUUUGGCAACAUAUGAAAUAGAGAAUUUUGAAUCCUUACUCGUGAUGGUUAUUUGGUAUGAAGUGUUGAAUAAUAUUAAUAGAGUAAGCAAACAUUUGCAAACAGAGGACAUCCAUAUUGACAUUGCCAUAGACCAUUUAAAAGGGUUCAUUUCGUUUUUCAAAAGCUAUAGAGAAUCUGGGUUUGAAUCAAUCGUGAUUGAUGUUAAAGAGAUUACAAGUAAAUUUGACAUUGAAUCGAUAUUUCAUGAAAAAAGAGUUAUACGUAGAAAGAAGCAGUUUGAUGAGAUUUCUUGUGAAGAUAUGACAGAAACAGUUGAAAAAUCUUUCAGGGUCAAUUAUUUCUUAUAUGUAGUAGAUUGAGCUCUAUCAUUGCUUCAAAAUAAAUUUGAACAAUUUCAGAAAUAUGAUGAUAUUUUUGGAUUUUUAUUUUAUUUGGAAAAACUUAAAUCCAUCGAUGAUGCUACAUUGAAGUGCUGUUGCAUUUGUCUUGAAAAUUAUUUGAAGCAUAACACAGUAUUCGAUAUCGAUGGAAUGAAAUUAUUUUCUGAGAUGAAUAUUUUAAGGGAAGCAAUAUCUAUAGAAAUGAAUAGAGCAGUUGAUGUGUUAGAUUACAUUAAAAGAAUGAAUAGUUGUUUUGCUAAUGUUUGGAUCGCUUAGAGGAUAUUAUUGACUAUCCUAGACACUGUUGCGUCUUCGCUGAAAUAAGUUUUUCAAAGUUAAAAUUGAUUAAAUCUUAUCUUCAAUCAACCAUGUCACAAGAGAGGUUGAACGUGUUAGUUAUGAUUUCUAUUGAAAAAAAAAUGUCAGAAAAAUUUGAUUUGAGUUAUUUGAUUACUAAUUUUGUAUCUCAAAACCUGAAAAGACUAAAUAUGAUGCUAGCCUAAUCUCUCAGAAUGUAAGUGAUAUUUUAUUUAACAAUUCCAUAUUAUAGAUUGUACAAUUUUUUCAUUUAAAUAUAGAUUUUUUUUAUUUAAAUAUUGUUAUACGUGUAGAAAAACAAAGUAUGGGUCCUCAAGAUUGCCGACUCGCUUAGGGCCUCCGAAUUGUCAGGGUUGGCUCUGAAAUAGUACCACAACAAGUACCUCUUUUAUUUUAGUUAACAUAAAAGUACAAAAGUUAAGGACUUAAAAAUUACACGUGUCAAGAUUUAAUUGCUACAUCAUGGAAUAAAAGAUGUUACUUGAGAAAUAAAAGCAUAAAUCAAAGCUAGGUAUCCAAUAUUAAUGUUUGUCUAAGCAAAGAUAAUCUCGAGGACGAAUUUCAUUUGAGGUGUUGUGGUUCGGUUGGUUUUGUCAACUUAAAAAUAAAUAAAUAAAAUAAAAUAUUUUGCCUUGGAAGCUUGACUCACAUAAGAAAAGAAAAGUUCAAAUAUAGAAUUGAUUAAAAGUCCAAAGAUCUAACCAUUUUAGUUGAAAUAAAUUUUAAUCAAAGAAACUGUCAACUACCUAAGAUAUGGCACAAUGGUCAUCUACAUGGCUCUCUAGCAAUCCCCACCCAAGCUCAAGUCAUCAUGUAGAUGUUCUUAUUAAAAAACUUAUAAGAUUAUUUUUGGACUUAAAAACUCUUCAAAUUUUCACUUAAAAACUCAAUAUAAGAAUGAUUAUUAUUAUAUAACUCUUCUAUUCAGUUUUUCAAUAAAAAUGGAAGUAAGAAGAGGAAUGUCACUUUUUUACCCCCCACAUCUCCUCGAAUUCAAUUUUCACUUUUCUUACUUUCAAAUUUGUGUUAGUUUAGAUUAUUUACAAGAAAUAUUACCAUAAGUUUGAUUAUUCAAGACAAAUAAUUUCUCAUUUCAUUUUAAGAAUAAAAGUAGAUGGUGGAAGUUGAUUUUUCCCUAUGAAUAUCUAUGUAUAUUUUAUGUGUAUAAAUAUAAUAGCAAGCAAUAAACCGUAAAAGGUUAAAUAUCUUUUGCAAUAACAGAUUUCUAUGAUCCCAAGAAUUCUUCAAAAUUAAAAAUUUCACAGCUAAUCCAACUACAUGGAAAUAUAUGGUAUGAAGUUUUUUUAAUAUUUUACAGGUGAAUAUGCAUAUUUGACUAAAGGGAAUGCACCUAUGAAGUUUUUACAGGGAUUUAUGUUCACGUGUACUUUAUAAAACUUUUUAGAUUGAGAAGGGAUAGUGAAUGAAUGAAAAUUGCAUGGAUUGUGGAGAUGCCAAGGGGAGAGAAAUCAAAUCAAAUACCAACGUUGAAUAUGCUUCUUAUGUUUUAAUGCUAAGACUAAGAUAAUGGAUUUAAAAAAUUAUUUGUGUUUGAAUCGUAUUUCAAUUGGGCACGAAAUUAGAUUUUAUAUGAUUAUAUGAAUUGACGUUUAUUAAAUUAUGUUAGUAUGGCAUGUUAGCAUAUGUUUUAACAUGAAUAUAUGAUUAGGUGUGUGGAUUUGGACAUUUGAAAACGUAAAAUAGAAAUUUUAUAAAACUAUCACUGAAAACCAAAUUUUGCAUAUUAUUGAAUGAGACAAGUAGGUUAUGAAAGCCCUAUGCGUUGUGCUAAUUAGCUUUGGAAUCAAGUCAUUUGAAUGUCAAUUUGAUAAAAUAUGCCAUUUUUCGUGUGCUGUAUUCAUUGUACUUACGAAUAUCUUUUGGCAUGCGUGUUGAGCGUCCAUUCGAAAUCUUAUUAUAUUAUACUUGAAUGAGUUUAGGAAAUACUGUAAAAUACUUCAACUAUGCUUGAUCUUUGGGUAGCACAUUGCAGGGCUAAACUCUGUGAACGUACGCUAACCUUCAUUUCCAUCCUUAUUUUAGUUUCAUUUAUUCAAUAAAUCAAUUAACUAACUUAAAUCAUUUGUUUUCGGUACUUAAAAAACAUGUUUUUGAAACAAAUCCAACUCCUAAUAUCUGGAACAUUACACUUAUGGUCAUUGCUUCGUUUAUGGAUUUAUUUUUCCUAUGAAUAUGUCACCAAUUUUCAAUUUUUCAUAUAAUUUGAUGUAUAUAUAUAUAUAUAUAUAUAUAUAUAUAUAUAUAUAUAUAUAUAUAGAGAGAGAGAGAGAGAGAGGACUUUGCAAAACAAUGUUGUUUUAUAACUAUAUUACUAAAAUAUUUUAUGGAUAAAUCUACGUGUACAUAAUUUUUUGUACAGAAAGAUGUCCUACACUCACAUGGGAUGGGGUCUACCAUAAUAAAAUAUUCGAGUAAACCUCAUCCGAUGUGAGCAGAGGACACCUAGAUGUACAAAAAAUUAUGUACAUCAAGCAAUGCCCAUAUUUUAUAUAUGGGAAAUGAUAUCUUUUGCUCCAACGGUGAAUGAAAUAUAUCAAACUUGAAAAUGAAUAAUAAUCUAAUCAAUCCCCAACAAGUUAAUAGUGCAAAUUAAAGAAAACGAGGUUUGCAAAUAUUCAACACAUGAUGAAAUUCUCUAUCUUUUUUGUUGAGAAAAAAGAAAAAAUUGACAUUCUUUCAAUUGUUGAACAGAAUAUGAAGAGAACCACCAAUUGUUUUCGCAAUUCUCCGAGCCUCAGAUUUAAAGUUUUCUCACUUGUGGCUAUUGCUUCAUUUCUUGAUUUAUAAUAUUCAAUCAUUUGGGGAUUUUAUUGGUGAAAUGAAGUUUGAGAUUUUUUUUUUAUAGGUGUAGGGCUUUAUUUGUACUCAUCUUCGAUAACCCUUUAUCGAUGAAGGAUGGAGGCGGCGAAGCCACACGACAAUGAUCUGCUGUCGGAGAUUUGGCGCUUGAAAAAGAAAGAGACGUUGUAUUGAGAAGGGAAAUUCCUGAAUUGUAUGGAAGAUCAAAGAGUUUAUAUCCUGAAAAUUCAUUUGAACUUUUUCUUAAAAUAUUUAAAAUGAGCCCUUAGGCUCGUAUGGUACUCUUUUUUGUAAGAAUGAGAAUGAAAACACAAGACAUAGAAAGUCAAAUAUUGGGGGGACGUUUGUUUCCCAUUUUUAUAAAAAUGAGAAUGAAAAAUAUAGUCGUUAUGAAUCAUAUACAAGAGAUAGAAAUUCAUAUUUGGUAGCUUGAUGUGAUGAAUAACGAUCAUAUUUUUCAUUUUAAUGAGGAAAGAAUGGAAAACAAACCGGAGCAUAAUGAAUUGAUGUGAUGGAUAAUGAUUAUAUUUUUAAUUUUGUGGCCAAAAAUCUCGUUUGGUACCCAUUUUUUUAAAAUACAUUUUGCUCUUUCUUUUUUUCAACUACACAUUCUUUAUUAAAAUAUUAUUACACGUAAAUAAAAAAAUUAUUCCUCACUUUUUAAUCACAUAUUUUUUAUUAAUUUAUUAUUCUAAAAUAUAUUUUUACAUGAAAAUGAGUUACAACGCCCUAUGAAAAUCAAACGGGGUUAAAUAUAUGUCACAUUUACCACGAAAAGAAAAGUUUUUAAAAAAUAUCUAAGAAGGGCUUAAUCAUACUCUCCAUGGAAAUAGCAGUCACUAUCAGGAACUGAUCGACGCGCUUAUCUAUUUCAGAUUUUUUGCCUGAAUUUUGUUUUUCAUAAUUCCCUAUUUCUCAGGGACAAAUUGUCGUCAGUGUUUCCGUCACAGUCAAAGGUAUGCCACCAAUUCGCUCUGAUGUGUAUUCAGCUCAAGAAUUUCUUUUUAUUUUCCACCUUUUAAGAUCAAUCUAUGAUAUGUAUUGCAUUUUGUUUUCAUCUUUCAGGUUCUUUUUAAAAAAAAAAUAAUAAUAAAAUAAAAAAUUGUGGCAGCUAUGCUAUUUUCCAAAAUUAUAUCUGUGCAAUUUUGGCACUUAUAUACAGAAAUUAUUAAAGUUUGAUCUUCUUUUUCAUUUUAUUUCCAUUAAAGUUUUGAGAUUUCGAGUUCACCCAAGAUGUUGAAAAUUUGAUAGAUAUAACCUCAAGGCUCUGAAGAGAUCUUUGAUUUCACUGAGGAGAACGAUAAGUCUAGAAGGGGCUAUUUCCAUCUCCUAUUCCCCUAAAUAAAAAUCAAUUUGUACAAUUUUUUCCCUAAUUAUGCUUGUGUACUGAUUUCGCUACUGUUUCCUAUCAUUUGCUUACUGAAAUGUGUCAUUUCUGAAUUAAAAACUUCUGUUUACUUCCCUCUUCCUAUUAGUGUUUUGCCCUGUAGUGUUGCAGUUUUUUCUGAUAUUGCUUCCAAAAAUGCCAUUAUCUGAAAUUUCUUUUCUUCUAUGUAUAUGACGAGUCAAAGAUCUGCUUAUAGAGUUUUACAUGGUUUAUUGAUUUAACGGAGUGCAGAAGCCACCACUCUUGCUGUGUGGUUUAGCAUAACAUCUUAUAGGCUUAGGUGAUAUUCUUAAUAAGGAUAAUAAAGGAUGAGUACAUCAUUUUGCUAGGAGCCCAAGUAUCUCUAUUUCCGCAUCAAACAUAAAUUUGUCAGAUGUAUUAAUCUGAGGGACAAUACAUUCUAAUUCUUGUGUUUCCAUCACUUAAAUUGCUCCGCUUGUUAAGAGUAGAACGUUUCUCCUUUUUUGCAGUUCUAUUGUUUGACUACUUCAGGCAAAUGGAAAUGACUAGUGAUGUCAAAAGUUCUGGUGAGGAAUUAGUUGGUUCCAGGGUAAAGGUCUGGUGGCCCAAGGACAAUAAGUAAGUGUUAGGGAAUAAAUCUUCCUUGUAGUCAUUUCUGUUAAAUCGCUGUUUAUAGUUUCUUGUUAACUGUCAUAUUUCUUAACGUGCUUAAUUUUUUGAUAUAGCACUCCUGUUUUCUUUUGGCAUUUCCAGUUGAACUUGGAAAUUGUGUCAACUUACUUCGUUCUUCUGUAGUUUUCAAAUAGAAUAAUAGUAAUCGUGGACAUUUUUCAUAAUUCAAAUUCCGGUUUUACAGAUUCUGUGAUGGGGUUGCUGCAUCCUAUGGUCUUUCAGGAAAGAAAAACUUGGUAGGAUGUGAGGCCAGUAAUUUUAAUGGCUGGUGAUAAUUCUUUUGUAAUUGAGGCUAUGUUUGAGCCACAUUUUUUCAAAAAAAAUAUAUUUUUAAACAGUGAUUUGAUAUCAUUUCAAUCACAUAUUCUUCAAUAAAAUAAUAUUACACGCAAAUUCAAAACUUUUCUUUAUUUUUUAACCACACAUUUUCCAUCAAUACACUAUUCAAAAAUGCAUUCUUAGGAAUAUAAUGUGGCUCAAACAAGGGCUGAAUGUAGUUAAAGUUUUAUGCUAGUAGUUCAAUCUUUCUGCCACUGUUUUAUAUUUAGGCAUAUAAUUUAUGAAGUCUGGAUUUUUAUAUCACCUACAAUGUUAUUAUUUUUGCUUUUGCUUAUUUCAACACCACCUGUAGGUGGUCUAUACCAAUAGCGUUGAAAAAAUUUUGAAAAGGGAACCAGUUGAAGAUGUUUCUUUUGAUCAAGUAGGCAACUCUUGAUUUAGUAUCCUUCUCUUCUUUGGAUUGUUCUUUCUCAAUACACAUUUAUGUUUACUCCUAUGUUUACUGUAGGAAAAUACAUGCACUUCAGCCCAUGCUCCAUCUUCUAUGUAAGUGUCGUUAUAUAUUAGGCUUUGCCUUUAAUUUUCAUAUGUAUUUUAAAUAAUUUUGGCUACAAUUUUCACACUUGGAAAGAAAUGUUGGGAGAACCCAAUUUGUAUAUCUUGCUAGUCAUCUGAAUUUUGUUCCUUCCCUUUUCAUGUUAUGAGAAAAGGAAAAGGGCUAGAAGAUAUAUAUACUUUCCGAUUUUACCUGAAAUGUUUUUGAAUUUGAUACUAACAUUACCUUGAGGUUUUGUUUCAACCUUGGAUUUCAACAUUGGAAAUAGAAGUGAGAAGCUAUUCCUAACCUUUCUCUUCUGCCAAAAUACAACACAAAUUUUUAAAUUUCUUAAAAUACAGUCCUGCAAUUGCUAAACUGAAGUAAACCUAACAUUUUUGUUUGAGUUUUUUAUUCCUCAUUUGAAACUUAAUCAGCUAAAACACUCUUUUUUGCAUAGUGGGGGGUUUGUCAAGGAAGAUGAUAAUAUCAUGAACGACCUUAAAAGAGUAUACAAGUAUUUGAACUUGUGACCCUUUCUUCAAGCCUGAGUAUCUUCAUCGCCACAUCAACCUUAUUUGUCCCAGUAGCAUUAGCUCGAGUUACUGUGCAGUCUAUUUGAUUAUCCCUGUUUUAUGCUCUCUAACUUGUGAAAAGCAGAAUUCUAGGAACCAUACGAGCCAUUGUCUUCUUCCCUCGCUUGAAAUAAUUUUCUUACAUUCAGGAUCCCCGAAUUGGCUACAGAUGUCAAAGAUCAUGGCGAGGAAUUGAUUGGCUGCAAAGUUAAGGUUUGGUGGCCUAAAGACAAAAGGUGACUGCUCUAGAAUGCUGCCAGACUGCUCUAGAUAUCUGUUGUUUUGCUUUUUUUAGUUAAUGAUACAUCCUGUUACUUUACAUGCAUCAUUUUUUGUUAUACCACUGCCCUUUUUCUCCCGCCAAGUGCUCUGGGCUCUAAUUAUCAAGGGAUAUUCGAUGAAGUUUUCCCAAUAAAAAGAUCUCUGUUCAUUAGUUCUCGCUUGACUUCUAUUUUGCAGGUGUCGUGAGGGGGUUGUUGCUUCCUAUGACCAUUCAGGAAAGAAGCACUUGGUAAGAUGACUCUCUAAGCUAGGACAGCAAUUUUAACUGCAGAGUAUUUUUUAUGCAUUCCUGAAUGUAAUCCGAAGUAUCUAAUCCUUUUGGUCCCUUCCCCACCUCCUGUAUGAAGGAAUGUAUAAGCCAUGAACUUAGUAUCCUCUGGCUUCAUUAUCUGCUUACCGACAUCUUCUGUUAGGUGGUUUAUACUAAUGGCGUCGGAGAAAUGUUGGACCUAAGAAAGGAGCAUAGGGGAACGGUUGUAAGCAAUCCCUAGAUUCUGCCAUCUUUCCUUUCUUUGUUUUUUCUUGCCUCUUCGAAAUUUGUCAGUUGCUUAUGUGUAAUUAUGUUUACAACAGAACCAAAAAACAGGCACUCCAGCUCAUGCUUCAGCUUAUGUGUAAGUGUCUUCAAUUAUUGGCCAUGACCAUUGAUUUUGUACAAGUUUCUCUCUUGAAACAAAUGUAUUGCUAUUUAAGCAUAUUUUUUGGGGGAAUAUAGUUACUAUUGUUACCCAUGUUUCGAACUGCAAAUGAUAGCAGGUAUCAUGGGAAAUCUGAGGCUGUAACUAUAGGGUUAUGAUAUGUUGAAUUGCAGGAAUAUAGAUCAAAGUUCCUUGGCUAUUUUACCUUAUGCUAGCACAGAUAUUAAUAUUUGAUUCAUAAAAUUCUAAUUGUGGGAUCAUAGGCUCAGCUACAAUGUGUACCUUUUUCUUUAUAUUGAAGAUAAACUGGUGUCAAUGUGUAUUCAAAUUGCUUAAAAUAGCUGUGAAACUGAAACCUAUGGAACACCUCAGUACUUAGGCCCUGUUUGAGCCACAUUUUUUAGAAAAAAUACAUUUUAAACAAUGAUUUGACAUCAUUUCAACCACACAUUCUUUAAUAAAAUAAUUACACGUAAAUCCGAAACUUUUCUUUAUUUUUAACCACACAUUUCCUAUCAAUACACUAUUCAAAAAUGCAUUUUUUUAGAAUAAUGUGGCUCAAACAAGGGCUUAUUACACAAUAUCAGAAACGUGUUUUGUUACCGUAUCCUAGUAUUUAUUGUCAGACAUGAGUAAAACUCUCUCUACACACACUUGUGUCCUGGCACACAUGUUAUUGACGCUUUACAGGUACACUUGGCAAUUUGCAUUUAUGCAUAUCUGCGAUGAAUUGAGCAUUUUAGAUUUAGGAACUGAAAGCAGUGGUAGGGGUGUGUACGUGUGGCAAUAACAUGCCAAGUCUCAAUGAGUUUUUUAGUUUUUUCACGCACGUACAUCCACCACUACAGAUUUCAUAUUGCCACAGCUUCAUAGUUGAUCUAUUAAAGAGUUGGUAAGAUUUGGUAAUCUGUACAUUAUCGACCAGCUCACUCAUCAAUUGAUAGCAUUCUUAUUAGCUGAUACCAAGACCGAAAAUUCCAUAAAACACACAAUAUCUUAACUGAUGACAAUGAUGGUGGAUGCAAAGGUGCCUGAGCCAAAGCUUUAUGGAUCUAUUAUUCAUAGGGAUGGCAAUGGGCGGGGCGGGUGCAAGUCGCCCAUUUCCAUCUCUCGUCCUGUAGAGUAUUUUUGUGAGCUUGUUUCGUCCCCAUUCGCAAUUAAGGCGGGGCUGGGUGGGACAAGGUGGGUCCCUUGUCACAUCUACGAUUCCGUUUAAUUUUUUUUGUUCGUUUUAUUUUUUGCUUUUUUCUGUAUAUCUUUAAUCGGUGAAAAUUAGUACCUUUUCCAAUUUGUUAAGAAGAAAUCCCUUUGCCUUUAGAAAUGAUGAUAAUUCUUUUCUUUUUGUUUAAUAAAAACUUAAAUUUAGAAUAAACUUUAAUCGGGCCGGGUAGCGGAGUGGGGAUCGUGUUUCCCAUACCCGAUUUCGCACAAUGAUUCCGCCCCCCCCCCCCCCCCCCCCCCCCCCCCCCCCNNNNAGGUCCCCCCCCCCCCCCCCCGGCAGCACCUGCCCCGGGGUCCAUUUACUUGAUUAGUUGGGUAAUUCUUGUCCGGUUUGGGAUGGGUCCUGCAAUUAUCGGGUUUUACUGACAUAUAAUCUAACAAUAUCAUAACUUCUGUGCCCUUUUAAGUUUUGUAUUUUCAUCAAUGUCUUUGAUGUUCUAUUUUUAUAAUUUUCCUUUUCUAGGAUUUCAUAUCAUAUAUAAAACUUAUUGUUUGAGUGAUUGCUUUUUACGAUGACUUUAUAGUCAUAAUAAACAUUUUUUACCAAAUACAGUUGUUUGAGGUAUUAAGUUUGUUUUUUAAUGAGUAGAACUGGCAACACUAUUUAAUUUAUUGGAUGAAUUGGAAGUGUUACGGAAAUUACAUGAUUAUUACAUACCUUUUUGACAGCAGUUGUAGCCCCUAUUGGGUUACCUUUUUAAUUGCUAAAAAGUUGCUUUUCAAAGUCAAACAUUAAUUUUAACCACACAUUUCGUAGGACCCACACAGUCUCAUCAAUACUUUUGGACCCAUUAAUAACUUUCAUGGCUUGCUGAUAUGCAGGACGGGUGAUGAUGACAUGGAAUCUCAUUGGCAUGUGAGGAAGAAGCUCAAGGUAAGUUGGCAUUAUUGGAGGCAAAUGUCUCUGGUGCACAUGGAAGUGUAUUUGUUUGCUUUGAGAAGUUUUUGAGAGCACAUUCUUACCAUCUAUACUAGUAUCGAAUCUUCGAGAGCGGAUUCUUACUAUCUAUACAAGUAUUGAAUCUGAGAAAUGUACAUUUUAUGACAUAAUAUCUAUUUUAGAACUUUCCUGGGAGGUCUGCUCCCUGUCCAGCAUCGCAUCAGUUGCUUCUACUCUUUCUGUAGUGGUAGAUACUUCCAGGACUUCUUUCAGUGAACUAUGCUAUAUAAUUAUUUCAUGAUAGCCGUAAAUGGAAUCUAAUGAUUAUUCAUGGGAAUAAUCCUAUGUAGCUUUGAGAGCCUGUGACAUGAAGAUAUAUUUGCAGCUAAUAACUUGUUGCUGAAGGCAAUCUGUGAUUGCUUUGAAGUUUAAUUAUGUUCGCAAAGCAGUUAACUUUACACCUGAACAUUUUUAACAGGGACAACCAUUGGAACUUGUAGUGCCAUCUACGAGGUAACUAUGUUGCGUCAAUAUUACGUACGAGGAUUUAUGCAUUAGUCCUUAUGUAGAAACCUUUUGAGCUAUUUAUCAUAUCACUUGUAAUCCGUGCAGGUCAGAAGAUGAGAAAGAGAAGAAACUGGAGAAUAAUAUGCAAGGUGAUAAUGAGCUGGUUAAUUUCAAAGGCUACAAAGUGAAGGCCAAUAAUAUAUCCGUACUUGAGGCCGUAUUUUCAAAAUACGGUGAUAUUGCAGCUAAUUGUUUGUACAAGUCGACAACCGUAAGAGCUUCUUUACUUGAUAUCGUAUCUGAUGUUGUUAAACGACUUCAAUAUUAUGAUGUUGAAGACAUUUUAACUGAACUUAAAGUAUUGGAUGACGAAGUCUCGGAUUUAGAGGCUACCAAGAUAGAUGUAGCAUGGCUGCAUCAGCAUUUAGCAAAGGUCCAUGAGUUUGCAGCGUGUUAUGAUAAGACGCUGUUGCUCAAGGAGGCGAAAGCGAACAGCAGACUUGUCCUUGGUGCAUCGAAAAAGGAGAUGUUAAAAAGGCGCGCUGAGCUUGUUGCUGCACAAGAGCGCUUUAAAGACGCCGAGAAACGGGUGAAUGCCAUGAAACUCGUUGGCGAAAGAAUCGAGGACGACGUCCAAAAGGCCACGGCUAAAGAGGACUUUUCGAGAAAGCAGUUAGAAGGGCUUCUUUAGACUGCCUUGUUCUCUGUUGCACUGUGAGAUGAUGUAUGAAAUGGUUUGUAAUAAAUUGAAUUGUAUUACGAAACUUUAUAGUCUUAUUUUGUGUAAAAUUGGGGAAAGCUAUCUCAAUAAAUGAAGUUUUAUUUUCAAUACGGUUACAAUAUAUUUCAUUCCAUUGAGUCGACUCUGCAAAAUUCUUGAAGGAUUUAGAUCGAUAAGUAACUUGUAUGUUUCAUGGUUUAAAAGGUUUAUUAUGUUAAAGAUAAAAUUUUAUAGUAAUUAAAACAUUGGUUGAGUUACUUAUGUUGUAACUUGUCAAUUGUUAAAAUAUUUGGUUAAACAUUUGUUUGCCUUCAAACAAAUCAUAAUCUAAUUAACACAAACAUGCAAAAGGUUUUUGUUAGAUAAUCUGUCAUUUUGUCGUAGGAUUGGAAUCAUUAUAUAAAAUCUACAAAUAGUUUAAGGGUCAUAUUAACAAAAUCAAUAUUUACUUUUUCAAUGCAAAAUUGAUGUGUGUGUGUUUAAAGACUUAGUAAAACAUUACAAACUCGCAAGUUUUUUUUUUAUUUCCCGACCCUCAAUGGUCAAAUUUUACUUUCAUCACUCGUAAGAUUCAUACAACCACAAACUUAUUAUUUUUAAAUCUUUUCUUAGUUUGUGAUCAAAGGCUAAAUCUUUAUAUUAACUCAUCUCCUCUCUAGUUUAGAUGGAUCUAACAAUCGCAUGUCAAUACUUCAAUAAAUAAGAAUUUUCCAAAUUUUAAUUGCUUCUACCUCCAAUCUCAACUAGAUUAAGAAUCCUUUUUCAAAAAUCUAAUUUUCUCAAAUAAGUGUUUGGGAUAUAAUCAAGAUAUGUAAAAAGUAAAUACAUAAUAAUAAUUAUUAUUAUUUAUCUUAUGUGCAAAAUUCUCUCCAUUAAACUUUCUAAAUAAUUCUUUUAGCAAGUUUUAGGCCAAUGACUUCCAAGUUAGAUGAUUUUAGGACACUAGAUUUUUAGAUACCCUUAAAAGCUUAAUCAAUCGAGUCGUAAAAGCUACGAAAAUACGUUUCAUAAUGAGAUAGUUUUUCUUCUCUAUUUUCUUUUUUACCUUUUAUUUUCCUCCUUUUUUUUUUUUUUUUUGCCCAUGGUCACUUCAAUGUCCCUCAUUAAAUACCCAUUCUCAAACAACGAAACAUAAUUUAAAAUUUUCACCUAAUUUCAUCAUAUUAGCCUUAAACAAUCCACACAAAAAUUUAAAACAUAGAAUCCCCAUUCAUAGUCAUAUCUCCCUACAAUACUAAAAUCACCCUCAAACAAUUUUAAAUUUGGUCAAAUGAUGUAUAUUGCAAUCUUUUUUUGGUUUAGCAUUUAUGUCUACUGUUGACCUUGCGAAUUGGACCUCCUACGUGGCCAACCGGUAGCUGCUCCACGUGAUCCUCUCUGUGCACAAUCAACAUACAGUCAGACGCACACGCCCGGAACCAGUUGGGGUGGUGGCGGUCACAUACACUCCGAUGGUCAAAUUAGUAUCCGGUGAUCGGAACAUUGCCCGAGUUGUGCAAGAGGGUGGGGAUGAGAUUAUAUAUAUUUUCUUGUUAUGGAGAGCUAAAUUACAAGAGUUUCAUUACCUUUUCCUUUUGUCAAACCUUGGACAUUUAUAAGUGAGGAGAACUGUUAGAUGUGGGACACAUGUAUGCAUCUAACAGUGUGAAACGUCUGCUCAUAGGAGUCAAUAAGCCUCAUCCAUAGUGUGGGAGGGUAAUAACUUCUCCUGAGUUGAGUUGAAAUAAAGUUGAUAUAUCACAUCAACUAGACCUUUGGAGAAGUAAAAUCAAUUAAGCCUUGGGGGUAGAGAGGAUCUUGACACAGAUCUCUUUCUGAAAGUAGCAGCGGAAGGAGAACCUCGAAGUGCAUUGUGCUUCGGCAUCAAGGACACUUAGGUUGGUUCGGUAGAAUUGUUUUGUGCAUCGCAGUGCGUUAGCAACACGCGGACAUUGGUGGUGGAGUCACUUCGAAACCACUUCGGGUUGGUGGUAGAUGUCUCGUAUGGUGCAGUGGUAAACUUUUCGAAGUGGUUCAGAUAGAGGCGUAACAGUGGUCCUCCCAAGUUUAGGCAUAAAUAUUUAUAUUAUGGGUAGACUUGUUUUUCCGAUCGAGUAUGUCUGCCUUGGUUUGUGAUAGAGAACUGGUGUGGAAGGGCGAAGUGUGUAGAUAGCCCGAAAGCUUUUGGAUCGAUUUUUGUGUUCACCGAAGAGAUGGCGUUGGGAAAAGGCCAAAGCCUUGUGCGGCUCAGGAUCGGGAUACAUAUCUGACCGAGGCGAUGACCUACAGAGACGAUGCAUGGGAAAUGCUAAAGCUUGUGAAGCUGAAGAUCGGGACACAUUGUUGACUGAGGCGCUAAAGCUUCGUUGCUGCCUAAGGAAGGAGCUCAUCCUCCAAUGAUGUACUGACCCACAGGGACGACGCUUUGGGAGAUGACUAAAUCUUUGUAAGCUUAGGAGGGAAUGCAUGACCGACGCGAUGAUACACAGGGGACUCCGCGUCGGCAGCGUCUAAGCUUUAUAAGCUAAGUGGGGAGCUUAACUGCCACCGGUGUGCUGAACCACAAGGGACAACGCGUUGGGGGAUGGCUAAAUUUUUGUAAAGCUUAGGAGGAACGCAGCUACCAAGGCGAUGACCCACAGGCGACUCCGUGUCAGGUGCGUCUAAGCUUUGUAAGAUAAGAAGAGAGCUCAUCUGAUACUGGUGCACUGACCCAUAGUGGACGACGCGUUGGGAGAUGGCUAAAUCUUUGUAAAGCUUAGGAGGGAAUGCAUGACCGAGGCGGUGACACACAGGGGACUCCGCGUCGACAGCGCCUAAGCUUUGUAAGCUGAGUGGGGAACUCAACUGUCACUGGUGCGCUAAAUCACAGGGGACGACACGUUGGGAGAUGACUAAAUCUUUGUAAAGCUUAGGAGGAACAUAGCUACCGAGGCGGUGACCCACAGGGGAUUUCGCGUCAGGCACGUCUAAGCUUUGUAAGCUGAGCGGAGAGCUCGUCUGAUACCGGUGCGCUGACCCAUAGGGGACGAUGCGUUGGGAGAUGGCUAAAUCUUUGUAAAGCUUAGAAGGAACGCAGCUACUGAGGCGAUGACCCACAGGGGACUCCGCGUCAGGUGUAUCUAAGCUUUGUAAGCUGAGUGGAGAGCUCAUCUGCCACUGGUGCACUGACCCACAGGAGACGACACGUUGGGAGAUGGCCAAAUCUUUGUAAAGCUUAGAAGGAAUGCAGCUACCGAGGUGAUGACCCACAGGGGACUCCGCGUCAGGUGCGUCUAAACUUUGUAAAGCUGAUGAUUCCGAUCUAAGGCGAACAUUUAUGACGUGAAAUGAUUUGACAGUUGUCGUACAUUUUCAAGGCGACAGCUGGGUGUGAUGCCCAUUCCCAGACAAGGCUGCUGCGGCUACUUAAAUAAUAAACGGCUGAUGGUGAUCGAGGCGACGCGUUUUAUGCGAGCGUGAGGGUCACAGCUUGAUCUUGGACGUAGAUCAAAUCUUGCGUUUCGUAUCAACGGCUCAGAUUUAUGAUGCGAUGGACAGUCUAGAUUGAUUGUGUUUGAAUUCAACGGUGGAGAUUAGUUGGGACGCUCUAUAAAAGGCGAACUUGAGAUUUUAGCAGUUUUUCACUUUUGCGAAAUCAAAAAAUCCAUUUCCUCUCAAAAUUCUUGCGUUUUUCGGCGUUGUAAAAUCGUUCUCCGGCCACAUUUCCAAUUUCCAACGAUUUCACGUUGGGUGUUGAUCUUUUCCGACAGUAGGUCCCUCAGUUUAUUAAGUUUCAGUAAGUAUUUUCCCAAGUUUUUUCACAUUUUUCUAUUCUGCAAUGGCUUCGGAUGGUAGUGGGGCUUCGGGAAGGGAUUUAGAGGUGGUGAGGGUGGAUGAGCCUAUCUUACCAAUGCCUAGCGAGGUCGUCGAGGUGAUAUUGGGGGGGAAAAAUACUUGGAGAAGGCCUGACAGCCGGGUAGAUACAACAGAACACUGGGGGCUUCAGAUUACCCAUCGAAAUUGAAGGAGGCUGAUCUGGGUAGACUUAGGGCUGAAUAUAUGAUACCUGAUAGUGUAGAUCUGAUAUUACCGGAGCCUGAUGAGUGGGCAUGCUAUCCUAGGCCGGGGUGUGUGGCCGUGAGUGAGGCACUUUUUAGGGCUGGACUUAGGCUCCCUCUCUAUCCCUUCUUUAGGCUAGUGCUGAGGUCGUAUGGGUUAGCUCCAACCCAGCUGAACCCGAACUCUUAGAACCAAAUGGUGGGGUCCUGGAUGUUAUGGAAGGAGGUGUCGCUCGGGGUAGAGAUGCCCUUCUCGAUUUUUCAGACCCUAUACAUCCCUAAGGUAGCAGUUGGAGGGGACAAGACUAGGGAGUGGCAUUAUCUGACCUCAUGAGGUUCCCAUACUCUAUUCAUGCUCGAUCUCCCGAGCUCCAUUAAAGAAUGGAAGAGCUCAUGGUGCUGGACUGUCGGGAGAUGGGAUACAACGGAGGGGGACCCCCUGGCACCUCUUACGGUCCCCACACAAAGUAUUCCACACUUAGUGAGUACUAUUGGCUUGCACUUUUAUUUAUUCUUCUUCCGUUCGGAUCCUAACUGCUCUUUGCUUUUUUGAAGGUACCCUUCCUCGAUGUGAGAUAUCCACAGACGACUUCGACAUAAUUUGCAUUGUCUACUAGCUGCCCCCGAAGAAGAGGUUAUAUCACGAGCUGAUCAGGAAGAACAUUCAUUUCGUAACACACGACCUGAUGGCUUCCCAAGGUAGAUUUAUGAAGUGGACAUGUCGCGUAGGUUUUUCGACCUCUUCAUGCUUAUAAUAAUUUGUUUGUUCCUUUACAGAUAACUUCAACAAGAAGAGGCCUCUGAGGCCUGACUUCAAGGCAAUUCAGAAGAUGAUGGUCGAGGCGAGGGCCUUGAAGACCUCCUCAUCUACUUACAAGAAGCAGAUGAAGGAUCUGGUUGAUGCCACUAAGAGGAUUCAGCCUCAGGUGGAUGAGGACGUCGAAGAAGACCCUGAGGCGAAUCUGCUGAGGAAAGACAAGAAAGCUGCGGGCUCUUCAAAGGGGCCCACCGUGGCGAGGCCAACCCCAGCCUUGAGGCAGACAACAAUCCCAAUCGGGAUGGCCCUAAGGGAGAAGUUUGCUGAAGCUUCCGUGGCUGUCCCUGCCACCUCUACUGCCUCGGCUGAAGCUCCACUUUCAUCCGUUCCCAUAUCUCAAGUGCCGAGGUAGCCGAGAAGAAAAAUGGCCCGUCCCACAAAGGAGGUGAACUUUUUGGGUGUGAACACUGAAGAGCCAAUCAAAGAAAUGAUGGAGGCUCUUCCUCCCCAGAUGGCAGCACUGGCAGUGGUCCAUAAUAAGUACUGGACUGAGGAGUAGAAGGAUCACACUGCCUCGUGCACUACCGAAGAUCUCAUGGUGGCCAACAUUGCAUGCAUAGCCAAGGCCCUCAACACAAGUGUUCAGCUGGAGGGCCUAAUCAAAGAUCCGAGGGCCAAAAACAUUGACCUGGCGAAGCACCUCGAGAAGGCGAUGCAGUACGGGAAUGAGGUCUGGGUCGUGAGGUAGAGUCGGCGAAGCAGGAGGCUGAGGGCCAGCAGAUGAGGGCCAAUGUUGAUGUUGAGAGGCUGAAGAAGGAGCUGCACGAAACUGAGUGCCAGGUGGCUGCUCUGACGAGGCGAAUUGAUCACGCCAACGAGCACCACGGCCUGGCUACUUCAGCUCUGGAGGCCUCCAACAAGGAAAAGGCUGAGCUGAAACAGCAGGCAGAGGCCCAAGCUGAAGAAAUUGCCUCGCUGAAGGGGGAUCUGAAGUUGGCGGGAGAGGUAGCUGUGUAGAACUUCAUUGACCAUUUCGAGGAGCACCCCCUGUAUGAUGACUUCGCUAACUAUUGGGUCUCUUGGAGUGCCCAAGGACUGUUGGGUAGGCUGAAGGAGGUCCACCCGACUUUGGAAAUAUCCUCCUUGGAGGCAGAGUUCGGUGGGCCUACUGGAGGCUGGCCUGACAGGGUUGCCGAGGAAGCUCUAGAGGCCCCAGAGGAAGAACCGACGGUCGGGGUGGAAGACAUCACCCUAGUAGAGUAGGGCUAUUUUUGUGAUGGCUUUGGCUUUCCUUUUGUAACUUGGUUUGAAAUGAAUGGAAUGAAAGUUUUUCUUUCAAGUAUCAGUGCUUCUUCUUUUUUCUUGUAUUGAAUUGUCUAUACUUGAGUAAAUGAAUGAUAAGCACUUAAGUAAAUAUUAAGCACCACUUACCAAUAACCAGUGGAUAAAAGAAGAUCGGAUUAAUAAUAUAUUGAAGAAUUGAGGUAACAACUCAUUAACGGAUGUGACACAAAGAACUAAAGUAUCAUUACUUAGAAGUUACAUCAUCCUUCACUUAGGUAAUUUCAACACUUAGUAAGAUAGGGAAAUUAAAAUGAGAUCGGAUCAUGACAAACACUUAUUAGACAAUAUGGAAAUCGGAUCGGAACAUACGUUCAUCAUUGAUAGUACUUCCUCAAGUGUUCGAUGUUCCAUUGAUGAGACAGUACUCUCCCUAUCAUGUCUUCAAUUUCAAAGGUACCAGGUCGGGACUCUUUGCGGAUGCGAUAAGGACCUUCCCAGUUCGGUCCAAACACUCCAGACCCAGUUGGCUUUGAUGAUUGGAAGACCCUUCUAAGGACGAGGUCCCCCAGCCGAAGAGUUCGUUUCUGACCUUGGAGUUGUAAUAGCGGGUCAUCUUUCUUUGAUACUUAGCCAGUUUCACUUGGGAGGUAUCCCUCCUUUUUUCAAGGAGGUGGAGUUCGUACAAUCAAGCUUCGUCGUUUCUGAUCUAAUUGAAGUGUAUCCGACGAUGCGAUGGGACUUCUACCUCGAUUGGGCUUAUGGCUUCGGCUCCGUAGGUCAUUGAGAAGGGUUUCUCCCCUGUCGCGGUUCGACUAGUUGUGCGGAUGGCCCAGAGGACGUGGGGAAGCUCAUUGACCCACGCCCUGCUCAAGGUGUCAAGCUUUAUUUUCAGGGUAUGCUUGAUGGUUUUGUUUACUGCCUCAACUUGCCCAUUUGCUUGGGGGUGAUGAGGCAUUGAGAAAUCCUUCUUUAUCCCCAGUUCAUAGCAUAAGUCUCGCAUCUUCUUGUUGUCGAACUGUCUUUCGUUGUCAGACACUAAGGAGUGGGGAAUGUCAAACCUGUAAAUGAUGUGUUUCCAGAUGAAUUUUGUAGUAUUCACCUGAUGAUCUUGGCAAGAGGUUCAGCCUUGACCCACAUGGUGAAGUAGUCAAUGGCGACAAUGGCAAAAGUUAGGCUUCCUCUUUCUUUUGGGAGUGGAGCAAUGAAGUUGAUGCCCUAGUUGGCAAAUGACCACGGACUGGUAACUACGGAGAGGCUCUGAGAAGACUGUCUUUAAAUAUUUGAGAAGCACUAGCACUUAUAACAUUUCUGAACGAACUGACAAGCAUCCAUUUUCAUGGUUGCCCAGAAGUAGCCUUGUCAGAGUACUUUGUAUACCAGAGCCAUUCCUCCAGAGUGAUUUCCGCAGAUUCCCUCAUGGAUCUCCUUGAGUAUAUAUGUGGUUUCUUCCCCUUCUACAUAUCGGAGAAGUGAUAAGGCAAAGCCUCUUUUGUAGAGGACAUCUUCUUGUAAGACGAAGUGUACAGCCCUUCUUCUUAAUUUCCUCGCUUCGCUUCUCGAAGUUGGUAGGAUUGAUCCUUAAGAUAGGCCAUGAUGGGUUGCAUCCAUAAUGCGUUACUUUCUAUCUAUAACAACUCUUCACCUUCGGAGAUGGAGGACUUCGACAAGCGUUCAAUGGCGACAAUCUUUAGUAGCUCUAAAUCUUUGUUGCUGGCCAACUUUGACAGGGCGUCUGUAUGAGUAUUCUCGAGGCAUGGGACUCGAAUCAGCUCGAACCUUUCGAAAUGAGGAACUAGGUCCAGCACCAAUUUUAAAUAUGCAAUCAUGCUACUGUCUUUGGCCGCAAAGUUCCCGUUGACCUGACUCACCACAAGUUGAGAGUCGCCGCUUGCCAGGAGCCUUCUAACCUGCAUUUUUUUCAUGAGUCUAAGGCCUGCUAGAAGGGCCUCAUAUUCGACGGCAUUGUUCGAGGCUUUGAAGCCGAAUCUUAUUGUGCAAUUUAGCUUGUGGCCCUCUGGGCUUUCCAAGACGAUCCCUACUCCGGAGCCAGUUUCUCUUGAGGAUCAAUCCACGAACAAGUUCCAUGUUGGGGGCUCAGCUGGUUCCAUUGUCGCUUCCAUUUCUGAGGCUUUGGUAAAUUCAGCCACAAAAUCUGCAAGGGCUUAGCCCUUGAUGGCAUGUCUAGGUCGAAACAGUAGGUCGAACUCACUGAGCUUGAUUGCCCAUUUUAGCAAGCGGCCCGAAGCAUCCGUUCUCUGCAGCACUUGCUUUAAUGGGAAGUUGGUGAGAACUUCAAUUGAAUGGGCCUGGAAGUACGACCUCAGUUUCCUUGAUGCUGUGAUAAAGGCGAGUGCCAGUUUUUUCAAGUCCGGGUAGUGUGUUUCUGGUUGGAAUGGUCCUUUGCUGAUGUAGUAUACCGGUAAUUGGUGUUCGUUUUCUCUCUGACUAGGACUGUGCUGACCGCCUCGUCCGAGACCACCAAGUACAGCAGUGGUGAUUAUUAUGGUUCAAGUUUGGAUAACAGAGGCACCUUUCUUAAGUGCUUGGAAGGCUUCCUCGCACUCACCGGUCCAUUGAAACUUAUUUCCUUGCUUCAACACUUUCAAGAAGGGUAGGCUCUUAUCAGUGGCCCUGAAGAUGAAGCGACUAAGCAUGGCUAUCUGAUCAUUGAGGCUCUGUAUCUCCUUCAGCUUCUGAGGUGACCUCAUUUCCAGUAAGGCCCUAAUCUUUACCGAAUUUGCUUCGAUUCCCUUUUGGUUCACAAUGUAUCCCAAAAACUGAGCCGAAGCCACCCCGAAAGUGCAUUUGAGGGGUUCAACUUCAUUUUAUAUUUUCUAAGAACCUGAAAGGUCUGGUUGAGGUGACUUACGUGUUCGUUCGCUUGAAGGCUUUUAACUACCAUGUCGUCCACGUAGACUUCCAUGGUUUGGCCGAUGAGUUUGGCAAACAUCAUGUUGACUAGCCUCUGAUACAUAGCUCCAACAUUUUUCAAUCCAAAAGGUAUGACUUUGUAGCAGUACAGUCCGCUGUCCGUAAUGAACAAUGUGGCGUCCUCAUCAGGUUAGAACAUGGGUAUCUCGUUGUGCACUGAGUACGCAUCCAUGAAGCUUAAGAGUUCAUGUCCAGCAGUGGAAUCCACAAGUUGGUCUAUUCUCGACAGUGGGAAGCUAUCUUUAGGGGAUGCUUUGUUUAAUUCCGUGAAGUCUACGCACACCCUCCAUUUCCCGCUAGGCUUCUUCACAAGGACCGAGUUGGAUAUCCACUUCGGAUAUAUGGCUUCUCUGAUGAAGUCGUUGUGGCUAAGCUUAUUGACUUCAUCUUCGAGCGCCUCGUACCUAUCCUGGUUGAGGACUCGUUUUUUCUGCCGAUGUAGGGCACAGGAGGGAUUGAUGUUAAGGCGAUGGCAAAUGAUCUUUGGGUCUAUUCCCACCAUGUCUUCGUGCUUCCAAGCGAAGACAUCCAAGUUCCUUUUCAUGAAGCUUAUCAUUUCUUUUUUCGCUUCGGGGGACAAUGUCUUUCCAAUUCGCAAGACCUGACUGGGGUCCUUUGGGUUGACGGAGAAAGUUUUAAGUUCUUCCAUUUGGAUUGCAUUCGGUUCUGAGUCAGUUAUUCGGGGGUCUAACUCAUCAAGAGGUGCCCUUUUUCAGGGGUCUCUUCCAUGUCGACGUCUUCCUCCUAUUCGAAGGUAUGCCCUUGUUCAGGGGCGUCGAGCAUUUCCACGUCCAAGUUGGCUUCGUUCACAACCUCUGUUAUGAUCACGUUAAUAGUGGGGGGCUCUAAUUUUCGUAGAGAGUUUAUGUAACAUGCUCUGGAGUCCAUCUAGUCUCCUCGGAUCAUAGCAAUUCCAUGCUCAGUUGCACAAUAAAAUAUACAUAUACACAUAAACACAACAAAUAAGUAGAAAAUAGAGAUUUAGAACGUGAAUUCGAUUUUUUCCUUUCAAAUUUAAUUGAUCUAACAAUGUAGGAUAUCGAAAUGCAGUGUAUUCUAUCCCGUUUAAUUAUUUUUUUCAUGUUGAUGAAUUAUUAUACUCAUGAAAGCUAAAGAUAUGAUAUAAUAUGAUAUGAUACGACCAUUUCGGUACAAAUGAUAUGAUAUGAUAUGGGCUCUUACCGAUUCUAAAGAUAUGAGACGGUAUGAUUUUUCUUAUACAUGUUUAAAAAUUUUUACUCGGGAUUGCACUAUUGAUUUUUAUGUCCCACUGAGUAUUCUCAUGUACUCAUCAUUUUCCCUAUUCUUCACAAAUUAGAACGGGUCAUUGGUUGGCGGGUAAUGUUGUGCUGUUGUGAAGUCAGAAAUUAUGGGAUUCAAUAAAAAUUAAAUUAUUUUAGUUUUUAUUUUCAUGUGAAACUCGUUAUUUAGGAUUUAGGACAUGUUUCAAUGGAUCAUGUUUCAUAGAUAUUUAUUUAUUUUAUUGAUGAAACUGAAAAAUUUUCUAGUUGAGAUAUUUGAAUAAUUUAUUUAAAUUAUGGAAUGAAUGUUUUAGUAACGAUCUAAAUUAUUAAAACCUGGGCUGUUACAUUCCCAAAAUGAGAAAAUUGUGAAAGGCUGCAACUAAAAGUGCCAUGCCAUUUAGAAACACGAAUUUAGUGUUAUUGGCCUCAGGUAAUUGGCCCAAGUCACGUUAUUGGACAAUUGCAUGGUUUUAAUAAAAUAAACACUUGGUUUUGGGCCUAAGCCUUUUCAUCAUUGCCCCAAUAGGUAAUUGGCAUCACUGUCCAAGAGAAAAGAGAAGAAUCAUACUGAUUAUGAAUAAAUAUGAAAUCUAGAAGAAUAGUAAGAAAAUUUUCAAACUAGCCCUCGUGCCUCUUUCGAACUAGAAGAAUUAAAAAACAUGCUACUAAGAGAAGUCAUAAUAUAUUUCUUCCUUUAAAUCACCAUGUAUAAAUGCACGCUAGUAUUCAUUUGUUGAAGUGACCAUCCAUUCGAGGGGGCAAUGACCAUAAUAGUGCGGAUAAUAGUCAUUUUGACCAUGGGAACAAAUAUCUCCACAUAAUCAAAACUAUUCUCUUGUUGAUUUCUUUAUACUUCUCAAUUGGAGGUUCGAAUUCUCUUCAAGGCAUAAUAUUGAGAAUACUCAUUGAAUGAGCAAUUCAAUAAGAGAGCUCGGAUCAAAUCGUAACGAGCACGAUAAUGAACGUUAUCCGAAGUGUGAUUAUUCUGUAGAGCCUCAAGUUCGUCAUGCAUAGCUUUUCCCUAACACUAAUGAGCAGAAGCCCAAGAGUAAGACUUAGGCACAAAGGCAGUAUUGAGAGAAGAUUGAUAAGUGUAAAAAGAGAACCCAUACCUAUCCGAAGGUCAUGAAACCCGAUUAGAUUAAUGAGGCUUAUGCAAGAUAAGAUCGGCCAUUGGUUUAGAGAUAGAAGUCAACAGGGGCGACAUCAUUGGUACACAAUACUUGGCUUAAAACGAUUAAUAGAACUAGACAUACAAAGGAAGGGAGCAACGUAGAUGAAGAAACAUGAUUAGUGUAAAAUGAAAAAAAUAUUGAUGUUCGAGGAAGCCAGGAACAUACUUGGUGGGAGACGUAAUAAAUGUUUGUGUUAUCGAGAAUGCUCUAAGUGAUACUAAUUUCAACGGCUUCACUAGCGAAGAAGAAACAAAAGAAAUAUAAAUGGCAGUGCAGUGGGAGACAUCUAUCACAAGUUUUUCUAGAUUAUUUUUGAAUGAAUAUAAGGUCCCUUAUGCAUGUUUGAUGUGAACAAAUUUAAAUGAAAUAAAAAAUAAAUAUAUUACAUCAUUUUUCUUUAGUUACUUUCUACUUUAUUAGUUUGUCGACGUACUAAACGUUCUACCAUAGUUUUAGUUGUUUAAAGAAAAAAUGGAAAUUUUCAGAAAUUUCCAAAGAAAACUAUAAAAAAAGGUAGAAAAAAUAAGUUUACCAAGUUUCAUUAUCAAGAGUUUUCUGGGAAUUUUAUUUUAAAGAAUUUAUUUCAUUAUCAACUUAAUUUAAACCAAAAGUUCAUCAUCAACUUAAUGAUUAGACAUGUUAAUUGUAGAAGUAUGUUAAGAAAAAUUUCGUCUUUCCACAGUUCAAAGUGUUUACUACUGUUAAAUAAAUUUGAAAAGUCUACGUAUUAAAAAAAAAAAUCUGGCUUGUAUCAUUUUUAAUAGAAUAAAUAUAAAUAAAUAAAUUAUCUUUUUAGUUGUUUUAAAAUUUUAAGUUUUUAGAUGAAAAUUGUGUAAUAAUUUACUAUUUUUUUCGAGUAUAAAUAUAAAUUCGCUACUUAUAUUCGUUCGUUUGAGAACAAAUUAUAUUAUUUGUGUAUAUAUGUUUAUUUUUUAUUUUUUUUCGAUUUUGAUAUCUAGCCUGAUUAUUGGUUAUGAUAAUCUUUUACUCCUUCACAAAAGAAGGAAACACAAAGUGAAGAAAUAGAUACAGACAAAGGCAAAAGGAUUGGUCAAUAUAGGAGUUCAACUUUUUAAUGGUCCGUUUGAUUGCGAAAAUGGAAUUUGUGCAAAAAGAAAAUGAAUUUCAAGGGGUUGAAUUGUUCAGAAAUUGUUUUCUAGAAAAUUGUAAAUUAUUGUAUUUGAUUGAUAUAAUUUUCCACAUGAAAAAUGUUGAAUUAAAAGUGUUGCGUGUUGUCACACUUGUCCUAUCCACCUGGGCCAGUAGGCCACUCAUCCUGAUCCACGCGGCAUUCCUGCCGAGGUGGCCCACAUUGCCGAGGUGGGUUACACCCGAACUGCUUCUAACCGAGGCCCAUGGCCCGAGGCGUGGAAGGUUUUGUUGUAGCUGAGGUCCUCGAAUGGACGAAGCCCCGAAGUUGAUGCGCGAGCCUCAACCACAAGGAAACAUCCUCCAUGGUCACUUCUCCCAAGGGAUCCCCUGCACAGAUCUUAUUCGAAUGAUUGAUGGAAUGUUUGUCAUAAGCAUAAAGGUCAAGUCUUGUCACUAGCGUGGAGGUCCUGCACAAACAAUAAAUGCGCCGUAAGCUAGCAAAUCAAAUCCCAUGCCUAUGAACAGACAUUUAAACUAUGGAGAUGAGGCCACGUGCCACUUCAUCCAAGGGUCCCCAUUCCAUAUAUAUCACUAUAAAUACCCCCCAUUGUAUAGUGUCAAAAGACAAAUGCAAGAAUCAAUACAAAAGACUAUAUUUACUCAACUCUCUCAGUUACUUGCAAUACAUAAAUCAAAUUUAUACACUUUUAUACAUACAUUGACGAGCACCGGUUGGUAAUUAUUUUACAAUCGGAUCACGAAUAACUCGUCGGAUUCCGAACGUCACCGUCCCGCGUCGUUGGGCUACUCCCACGCCCAUUUGAACCGCUUAUUGUAGACCGUCCACGUGUCUUCUAACUUAAAUUUUCUUUACUUACUAAUUUUCCUAGAUUACAUAAAUCUUCAAUUAUCUAAAAUAAAUUAUAGGUAAUUAUUGCUAAGAUCACUGCACGGACACGGCCAGAGAGUACAAAUUAGCGAAAUGGAGAAAUUGAGCCGGUUUGAGUCCCAGUUUACGAAAGAUAGAUUUUGUAAUAAUGAAGGUUUUUUUUUUUUUAAGAAUAUCUGAUUGAAAAGGAAAAAAAAAUUAAUUUAUUUAUAAAAUUAUUUUAUUAGGAGAAUACAUAGUUGAAACUAAAUUUGAAGAAAAAAAUGAGUUUUCUUAUUUAGAAUGAUACUUGAACAAGGGUUGAAUAUUUUGAAGUUUGAUUAAGCUUCUCCCAUUGUUUAAGUUAGAAUGAGUUCUCAAGACUUCGAGACAUUGACUUCUAUAAAGGAUUUUGGAUCAUGUCCUGUUCAAUUCUACAUUAUACCUUGUAAUUAGGGGUAAACACGGUUCGAUUUGAGCGAUUUAUGACAAAUUUUCAAACAAAGUCAAUUAACAUGAUUUGAAAUUUUUUCAAAUCGAAUCAAGUUACUUUUAUUUUAAAACCAAACCAAUUCAAACCUUUUUUUUUUUUUUUUGGUUUAGUUUAAAAUCAUGGCUUACCAAAGAAAAAAAUUACCAUAUAUUAAAUAAGUUAAGUCAUAAAUUUUAGUCUAAAAUUUCACGUUAAAACAAAAAUAGUAUAAAUAAAAAUGUUACAAAUCAAAGUUUCUAAUCCCUAUAAUACAACAACAUUAGAGAAACAUUUUAACCUAUUAGUUGAUACUAAUUGGUGCAACAUUUGUAAUUGUGACACAUUAUUUAUUCUCUCCAUAAAGAUAAUAAUAUGUACAUGAAUUCAUUGAUUAUCGUUAAAUAAUAUAAAAUAACUAAUAAAAUAAAUAAAUAGGAAGAUCAAAUAUGAUAAUACAUUCUAUCAAUUUUUGUGAAUCAUGCCAAUGUUUCUACUUUAUCAAAAUAUUGAUGAAUCAAAACAGGUUCCUGUUACUAUACAAUCAAAUUUUAGAACAAAUCAUCGUCUCAACCAUAUUUGCACUCAACGAACUUCUGAAAAAAUAAAGUAUCCUUCGGAGUAAUUUGAAGGACAAUCUUUAUUUAUUUGCAAUCAAUUUCCACCAAAAUAAUACAUCAAAAAGCUAAUUGAUCAAAUCUUCAAAACAACCAUUUAAGUAAUCUAUCAAAUCAUUCUACCAAUUAACAUUAAAUAAGGAAAUAAGUGAAACUAAAAAUAAUUAAUUGAGUGACUUGACUAGAAAAUUGAGACACAAAUAUACCAAAAAAAAAGAUCGCUAAAACUUUAAAGGAGCCCUACACAAUUAGAACAAAACAGUACAAACUACCAAUAAAAUAUAGCAAAUAAUUACCAAGAAUGAGAAAAUUUGAAUAACUUGACCUAGAUAUCUAGUUAAAAUUUGAGAAAAUUAUUAGUAGAAGGAAAAGCAAUGUAUUAGUUUUAGUUAAAAUCUAGAUUUGAUUGUUUACUCAAUUGUAAUGGAUGAUAGAUAACUAUGGUUCAACAACAGUUGUUCAAUACUUCACACAAAUUGAAAAUUUUGCAUUCACAAUUGUGAUGAAUGAUAGGUAUUUGAAUUCAUAAUUAAUUAAUUAAUUGGGAUGAACGACCAUCUAUUUAGGUAUUGCAUUUAAUUGUGUUAUGUUUAAUAUAGAGUUGCAUAAAAUUUAAAUUAAUUUAUUUUUAGAAUUUUUUUGUAAAAGGUUGGUAGUUUGAAACUAUUUGUAAAGAUUGAAACAUACACCAAACCAUUUCGAAAUGGUUUGAUUCGAUUCAAAAUCUUCAUGUUGACAAAUUUACGUGGAUCCAAACCAAUGGUUUCAAAAAAUCGAUUUUGAUUCAAUUUUACAUUUUCAUGGUUUCGUUGUUCAUCUUUACUUGCAACUAAUUCAGCUUUCACUUCUAGGAAAUAUAACGGGACUCCUUUUUUCUACAAAUUAUCUGUUCCACACAUCACUUCACAUGAAAAUAUAGCCCUUAUUUGGGGUAACUUAAAAUCAAAUUUAGAUAAAAUAUAUGGUGAAAAGUUAUAAAUCUCAUAAAAUUAAUUGUUAACUUUGAUUUAAAAUUUUUAAUAAAUUUUAAUUUACACCAAAUAAGUGCUAAACUUGAGUUCUAAGGAAGGCAGAAGAUGAGAUCCAUUUUUAUAUUAAUAAAUUUCGAUCUAUCUUUUUCAUUUCUACCGUACCUAGCCACUAGGCCCCCAACAACUUCUUAAUCAACACCGACGUACAUUUUACUUUUCCUGCCAUCACCAACCAGGAUACUAAUAUAAUAUAAAAUUUAAAUAAAUGCCAGCCAAUAUACUGUUAAGAGAAUAUUUGACAACCAUUUUUAUGAAAAAAUAAAUUUUAAAAUAGUAAAUUUAUGGAAAAUGUGUUGAUUUUAAAUAAGGAAAAAUUUUUGAUUUACGUGUGAUAUUAUUUUAAUAAAGAAUAUAUAAUUAAAAAGAAGAGAAAAAAUUAUAUUUUGAUAAAAAUAAGAAUGAAACGUAUAAUAAUAUUCCAGUUUGUAACCAUCAAGUGGCAAUAUCAUUUUCUCUUUUCUUCAUCUACCUCCGUACCUUCCUACGACUUGAUGACCUGCUAAAAGUUCUAUUCUAUGCCCUUGUCUGAGCUACAUUAUUUUAUUCAGAAUACAUUUUUAAAUAGUAUAUUAGCACUUGUUUGAUUUUCAUUAAAUUACAUUACAUUACAUUCUACUUUUCUCUCUCCUAUUUUCAACCACACAAUCUUCCAUAAAAUAAUAUUACACGUAAAUCGAAAAAUUUUCUUUCUUUUUCAACCACUCAUUUUUCAAAAAACACUAUUCUAUACAUUAAAUUUUCCCCGUAAUGGGGGCCAAACAGGGUCUUAAUGUGAAAUGUGCGGUUAAAAAUUAAGGAAAGUUUUGAAUUUGUGUAUAAUAUUAUUUUAUUGAAGAAUGUAUGGUUGAAAUAAUGACAUAUCAUUAUUUAAAAAUGUAUUUUUUGAAAAAAAAAUGUGAGUCAAACAUAUCAUAUUUUCUUUGGCUUAAACAAAGAAAUAGAGUUAACAAGACACGGCAUUUUUCGAAGAAAUCAAGAACUUGCUUAUGGAAUUCACUAAUCUCAUCUAGCUAUGACUUUCACUUCCUAAAUUCACUAGAUUUGAUGUUUCAACUAGAACAAGAGAAAAAAAUAAUUAUUUGAGAUGGAGAUAUUUGAAUUACAUGUAUUUUUUUUUUUUUNNNNNNNNNNNNNNNNNNNNNNNNNNNNNNNNNNNNNNNNNNNNNNNNNNNNNNNNNNNNNNNNNNNNNNNNNNNNNNNNNNNNNNNNNNNNNNNNNNNNNNNNNNNNNNNNNNNNNNNNNNNNNNNNNNNNNNNNNNNNNNNNNNNNNNNNNNNNNNNNNNNNNNNNNNNNNNNNNNNNNNNNNNNNNNNNNNNNNNNNNNNNNNNNNNNNNNNNNNNNNNNNNNNNNNNNNNNNNNNNNNNNNNNNNNNNNNNNNNNNNNNNNNNNNNNNNNNNNNNNNNNNNNNNNNNNNNNNNNNNNNNNNNNNNNNNNNNNNNNNNNNNNNNNNNNNNNNNNNNNNNNNNNNNNNNNNNNNNNNNNNNNNNNNNNNNNNNNNNNNNNNNNNNNNNNNNNNNNNNNNNNNNNNNNNNNNNNNNNNNNNNNNNNNNNNNNNNNNNNNNNNNNNNNNNNNNNNNNNNNNNNNNNNNNNNNNNNNNNNNNNNNNNNNNNNNNNNNNNNNNNNNNNNNNNNNNNNNNNNNNNNNNNNNNNNNNNNNNNNNNNNNNNNNNNNNNNNNNNNNNNNNNNNNNNNNNNNNNNNNNNNNNNNNNNNNNNNNNNNNNNNNNNNNNNNNNNNNNNNNNNNNNNNNNNNNNNNNNNNNNNNNNNNNNNNNNNNNNNNNNNNNNNNNNNNNNNNNNNNNNNNNNNNNNNNNNNNNNNNNNNNNNNNNNNNNNNNNNNNNNNNNNNNNNNNNNNNNNNNNNNNNNNNNNNNNNNNNNNNNNNNNNNNNNNNNNNNNNNNNNNNNNNNNNNNNNNNNNNNNNNNNNNNNNNNNNNNNNNNNNNNNNNNNNNNNNNNNNNNNNNNNNNNNNNNNNNNNNNNNNNNNNNNNNNNNNNNNNNNNNNNNNNNNNNNNNNNNNNNNNNNNNNNNNNNNNNNNNNNNNNNNNNNNNNNNNNNNNNNNNNNNNNNNNNNNNNNNNNNNNNNNNNNNNNNNNNNNNNNNNNNNNNNNNNNNNNNNNNNNNNNNNNNNNNNNNNNNNNNNNNNNNNNNNNNNNNNNNNNNNNNNNNNNNNNNNNNNNNNNNNNNNNNNNNNNNNNNNNNNNNNNNNNNNNNNNNNNNNNNNNNNNNNNNNNNNNNNNNNNNNNNNNNNNNNNNNNNNNNNNNNNNNNNNNNNNNNNNNNNNNNNNNNNNNNNNNNNNNNNNNNNNNNNNNNNNNNNNNNNNNNNNNNNNNNNNNNNNNNNNNNNNNNNNNNNNNNNNNNNNNNNNNNNNNNNNNNNNNNNNNNNNNNNNNNNNNNNNNNNNNNNNNNNNNNNNNNNNNNNNNNNNNNNNNNNNNNNNNNNNNNNNNNNNNNNNNNNNNNNNNNNNNNNNNNNNNNNNNNNNNNNNNNNNNNNUUUUUUUUUUUUUCCCAAAUGAGGAGGUAUUUAUUUAUAGAUUUCCCUCUAAGUGUUGGGAUGGUUCGGUUAUUUUCCAGUUGUGCCAAAUGUCGACUCCUUAUUGGUUAUCUUGUAACUAAUUCGAAUAAAAGUCAUGUUUUAUUCAUUUCCUUAUGUACUUUUUAUUGACAGUCUGUAACCAACCUAUUUAUGAAAAAUAAUUCGUGACUCUUAGGUGAGCCUUUUGCAUCUUCGAUCCCUUCAUGUGUUGCUUUCCGUUUCACUUAAUGGUAAAUCUUGAAAGGUGUAUUCCUUGAUUCAACAAAAAUAAUGUAAUAAUUUCAUUUUUUUCGAGUAUAAAUAUAAAUUAACAACUUAUAUUCGUUCAUUUGAGAAAAUAUUAAACUCAUUAGAAUGCAGAAAGUAUAAAUCAUGUGCUUAUACGUACAUAUAUAAUUUUUUAUUUGUAUUUGUAGCCUGAUUAUGGGUUCUGAUAAUCUUUACUCAGCUUCCACUUUGAUAUAAUAUAUCAUUCUUAGUAUUAUUAAUAAAAUAAAGGGAAAAUUGCAGCCGAGGUACCAAACCUUUCGUUUAUUAGCAGACUUUGUCCAAACCUUUAGUUUGUGCCACCGGAGAUACCAAACCUUUCAAAAAUAUGCACCAGAGGUUCAAAUGGAUGGAAACCGUCCGUUUGAACGUUAGUUGACCAAGAAAAGUAAAUGUUGACCUAUUUUGACUAAAUUGAAAAGGGUAAAAAGGUAAAAGUUACUUAACCCUAUAAUAAAACAAUUAAAAUAAAUAACUAAAACAUAAAAAAAAUAUUACUAUUCAUCUUCUUCUUCACCCAAUCCACCCCGACCCGCAUGCACCCUACCCCACCCCAUCCAAAACAAAAAACAGAAAUUAAACAGCCGCCUUCUUCUUCAACCUCCCCAUUUCUCCGAUUUUGUACACAAAAAUCCAAAAUUUAUUAAAAGAUUAUGUGACAAGCACGCAUCCAAAAAUCGAAACUUCGUACAAAAUGAAUGACACAGAAUUAUUGAGCAAAGAUAUAGUGAAAAAAGGAGUGUUUUAUACCGUAAAAAGAAGGAAAGCAAGAAAGUUUGCAAUAUUAAUCGAAGUUUGAACCAUAAAAGCCUGGAGUACAGGGCCCAAAACCCUCUGCGGCACUAAAUCGUCAAUAGACAAAGCCUCCAUCUCCAUCGGUUUUCACCUGAAACAAAAGAAAACACUACAGAAGGAAUAUACAAGAAAAACUGUUAGAGAAAUUGUCAGCUUUUCAUAAAUAGAGAAACACUGCAAAUAAAUUAUCAAAUUUCUGU
rnacentral:lncRNA from 1 species